CCAAAUAUAUUUUCCAUUUUGGAUUUAUGACCGGUUAGAUCAAGGAGAGGACAUGGAGCUAGGAGAUAUUUCUGAUGAUGAAAAAGUAAUGAUAAGGAAGAUGAUAAUAACAGCCUUUUGGUGUAUACAAUUAUUGCCUUCUGAUCGUCCUUCAAUGAAUAAAGUGUUGAAAAUGCUUGAAUCUAACGUUGAACUCCUUGAGAUGCCUCCAAAGCCAUUUCAUCAAGUUCCUCUUGAAACAUCAACGGAGGUUGAUAAUUGUGAGAACUCUAAUGAUGAGGAAAGUAGGUCAUUGGAUGUUGUUACUAUAACCAGUUUUAAUGUCGUUUAAUAUUGGAAACAUUUCCUUUCAUUAUCUUACAUUUGUAGCAUCGUAUAUAUUUUGCCUUUCAUAUAUAUUAGUAUCUCGAUAUGUGUAUUGUAUUUGUACAUAAAUAUGUAUUUGAAAAAUAAAAGUUGUUUUGGUUUUUAAAUAAAUAAUACUGAAGUGAUACUUUGUAGGAUUGUUGAGCUCCUUCACAACGUAAGUGUCUUAUGAAUUGAUGCAAAAGGAGGCUUGAAAUAGAUAGGAGAUAAGGGAAAAGUAAACAGAGAGGAGAGAAAAUAUGUUACGGUGAUUAGUUAAAGCACUUAGUCUUCUUCACAUAGUUGAAUUUGACUACUCAAAAUAAGACACUAGGGUAGAAUAAUUGAUGUAUAAUAUACCAAACAAUUGUUAGCUUAUGAUAUCCAUUCUCCAUUAUCGUCUCCCUUACAAUUUUACUUACCAUGUCAAAACCAGAGACUCAGUUGUCUUUUCUUUUCUUUUCUUAAGAAGAAUUGACUUGCAUAGACUUAGUGGCUUAUUAUAGUGGGUUGGAAAUGAUGUCUCCUUAUCUUUUUUUUUUUUUUAAAGAAAUAUUUUACAAAAAUAAUGAUAAGGAAGAUGAUAAUAACAGCCUUUUGGUGUAUACAAUUAUUACCAUCUGAUCGUCCUUCAAUGAAUGAAGUGUUAAAGAUGCUUGAAUCCAAUGUCGAACUCCUUGAAAUGCCUCCAAAGCCAUUUCAUCAACUUCCUCUUGAAACAUCAACGGACAUUCAUAGCUGUGAGAACUCUAAUUAAUGACGAGGAAAGUGGGUCAUUGGAUGUUGUUACCAUAACCAGUUUUAAUGUCGUUUAAGAUUGGAAACAUUUCCUGACAUUAUCUUACCUUUGUAGCUUUAUAUAAUUUUUUCCUUUCGUAUGUAUUAGUAUCUUGUGUGUGUAUUGCAUAUGUACAUAAAUUAUUUAAAAAUCAAUGUUUGUUUUGAUUUUAAAUAAAUAAUAUUGAAGUGAUACUUUGUAGGAUUCUUGAGCUCCUUCACAACAUAAGUGUCUUUAUGAAUUGAUUCAAAAGGAGGGUUGAAAUAGAUAGGAAAUAAGGGAAAACUAAACAGAGGAGAAAAAAUAUAUGAUAUAGUGAUUAGUUGAAGCACUUAGUCUUCUUCACAUAGCUGAAUUUGACUACUCAAAAUGAUUGAUGUAUAAUAUACCAAACUUGUGAGCUUAUGAUUUUUGUUCUCCAUAAUCAUCCCGGCCCCUUACAGUUUUACUUAGCAUACCAAAAAUAGAGCCUCAAUUCUCUUUUUUUUUUUUUCCCCCUUAAGAAGAAUUGACUUGUAUUGACUUAGUGGGUCAUAAUAGUGGGGUUGGCAACCACGUCUCCUCUUUUUUUUUUAAGAAAUAAUUUACGAAUUUUAUUGGUUAAAUUUGGUUUUUUGUCUUUAUAUUAUUUUUUAUAUUUUAAUUUGGUUACUUUUAACCUCUAUGUUUUUCAAACUUAAGAGUACAGUCAUUGCAAAAUGGUAGUUGUUAAAUUCAUUAAGUUCUACUAAUUUCAAAUUUUGGCAUGGCAAACAUAUUUCUACAUGUGUAUUGCAAUGUUAACUUGUUAUUUCUACAAAUUACUCACUAAAAACCUAGUUAAUAGAUUUAAUUCUCGUCAUUUGCUUCAAGAUUGAAAUGUCAAAAUUCAAAAAGUAUCGGGAUUGAAAUUUAUGGACUACAAAUACAAUUUUACAAAUAGUGAAAAUUAAUAGCAGAAUUCAACUAACCAAAUUUAACUACUACCUUUCCGUUAGUGUUAAAAAUUUCAAAAUUUAAAAAGUACAUAGAGUAAAAUUUGUUGAGGCAAGUUUUGGAAGCAAUAACUCAAGCAAUGACUGUAAUGCCCCAAUUUUUACCCGGCCCAUAAUAAACCAAUAAAAGUCCAGUUUUUUUUUUUUUUACAAACCCAAUUAAUAAACCCAAAUUACAUCAGCCAAGCGAGGCUCCUCCCCGUGCACACAUCGGCCUCCCCCACGUGUGUCUCGCCUCCAGCUGUACCUGUAGCAACAAACAACCAACGACAACAGCAAAAUAAAGGGAAAAACGACUAGUCUAUUAACUUGGUAACACUUAAAUUAGUUUAAUUAAAACCGACGACUAGUCUUUUAAUAUUAGUGAAAUUAUAGAUUAAGUCUAUGUUCUCCAAUUUGAUCAUUCUUAAUCCUUAUAUUUUUUGGAAAUUUGAAAUCCUAAUCUUAAUGCAACAUUAACUGACUUGUUUUUAAUAAUAUGAAGAAAUAGCAAUCUGUCAUGAUAUUACACAUGUUAUACUAUAUUUGCUAUAUAAGAUUUUGAAAAUAUUAGUGUAAUAGCCCAUUUUUGCCCGGGCCCAAAAAAAACCAAAAAUAAAUAAAUUAACAGUCCCAGUCCAUUUACAACAAACCCAACAGGCCCAAAACCCUAACGGCCGAAUAUGGCCUAAAAACUAAACGAAAUCAGAGAACCCUAGGGUUCCCUCCUCUCUCUCGCGCCGCAGCCUGCCCCAUGUGCACCCUUGGCGCGCACAACGCCCAAUGAUAACGCCUUCACCAGUGUUGCACCAAAAUGGCAAAGAUUUCUGCCCAUUGACUCCCCAUGACCUGCAAAACAGAUGAAAACAACAACCAAGAGACAAAAACAGUAGAGGCAGCGUAAUAGAAGUAUUUAAAAUAGUGAAAAAUAAAAGAAAAAGAUAUAUUGUAUUUUGUCUUUGGUUAUAUAAGCCCAGAAACAAAACGAUGUAAAAGGGGGGCUUCUUCCUUUUUUACGAACAUUAAUAAAAAAAACAAAAACAAAAAACAGAUCGAAGGUGAUUCUUCUUUACUUUUUUUCAUUCCUUUUUUAUUUUUAUUUUUAUUUUUUUCUACAUACUAAAUAAUAAAAAUACAAGAAGAAGAGGCUUACUAGAGGCACUCGGUGACCGAGCCUAGGGGGCAUUCUCCAUCGUCAGGGGGUCUACGCCACCGUCGGGCCAGAUCCGAAAGGAUGUUGGGGCUCUUCUCUUUCGUUUCGGCGUUGAGAGGGCUCAACCCCUGAGGGCACUGCAAGACAAGGGCCGAAAAGCCCAUUUUCUUUAUCACCAUCCACGGCCAUGACGGUCACGUGACGGACGGACGGUGGAACCCUAGCCGAAUUUUGGGGAGGGGUUGAAGUUUGAGAGAAUUUUGUUUGAUUUUUUUAGAGGAAAGGAGAAAAGGAAGGAUUUAAAAAAAAAAUUAGCUUUUAUAGCAUUAACAAAUGGCGUCGGCUUGAUCUUGGGGUUCAGAGGCCAAAAUGGCGUCAUUUUGACCUCUGACCUGUGACCCGACCCAAUAGCUCACGGGAUCCGCAUGUUUUUAUGGUGAAUGAGAUAUUUGCGCAUGGGGUCCCUCUGCUUUUGCGCCGUGAUGCAAUCUGGUCCCUUCAUUUCUUUUAUUUUGGCCCCAUAAAUUUUAUACUUGUUUCAUUUUGGUCUAUGCUGAAACGCUGUGCUUUAGGGCUGGGAAUAUUGCCCAUUCAGUCCCUAAUUCCUUAAGCGCGCUCCAUCUUAGUCCCGAGCCACCCUCUUUUAUUUAUUUGCAAUUUAAGCCUCAGAUUUUGGGUCCGUUUUUAAUUCAGUCCCUAGCCGGUUUAAUUGAUUUUAUUUAUUUAUUUAUUAAAAAUAGUUUUAUUUAAUAUUUCAUCUAAUAUUUAUUUAUUCACUUAUUUGCAAUUUUGAUCAAACUUACAUUAGUUUUUAUUUUAUUUAUUUAUUCAUUAUUUUUAAUAUUUACUUUUUUUAUUUUAUUCUUGCCAUUAUUAUUGCGAUUUUAUUCCGUUAUUUAUUUGUUAUUUUUCAAAUACUUUCGAAAAUUGGAUUUAUUAUUAUUAUAGUUAUUGUUGUGGUUAUUAUAUUGUCAUUUAUAUCAUUAUUUUUAUUCAUGCAUGUUAACAUUAAGAUUUAUCAAUAUCGAUGCUAUAUGUAUAUUUUAUUAUGCAUGUUAUGUCAUGGUUAUUUAAAAUGUAUGUUGAACUAUCAUAUUUAGCCACGUAUAACUCCUUUUACGUAUUAAACGAUUUCUCUAAAAAGCUAAUAAAUUAAACGUAUAUUUUUAGGCAUUUCAUUUCCUUUUUAUCCAAAUAAAUUUUUUUUCAAAAUAAGGAAAUAUUUUGCGUUUGAAAAUUCGAGAAAACGUGCCCUAACGUGUUGGUUUUCGAUUUCUCGUUCGACCAAAUAGCCAAAUAUCCUCUUAAAAUUUAGAAGUAUGGGUUUUGAAAACCAUAAGGUAAUCUCAGUUUUGAGGGUUUAAAGUAUUGUAUCGUAAUGUGUUGGAUGUGAUAUUAUUUCAGAACAAGAGAAUCCUAAAUUCCAACCCAUGUUAUUCGAGUUUUUUUAAGGAUCGUAUUUUUAAAACUCUUUAAAGUUUUCAAUCUUCGACACUAAGACAAUAAUUAAUCAACUAGGUACCAAUUUUGAGCUUUACGAGGGUGCUAAUCCUUCCUCGUACAUAACCGACUCCCGAACCGUUUUUUUUUUGAAUUUCGUGGACCAAAAUUGUUGUUUUAAUAAAAUCAAAUCGUUUAUUAAAAAAACCACUUUUCGAGGUGACCCGAUCACACCUCAUCAAAAAGGAUUGGUGGCGACUCUCGUAUUCGUUUUCAUUUUCAAAAUCAAAGUCGAUUCUGUUUUACAAAAAAUGGUUUCGACAAUUAGCAUAACUUAUUGAAUUUAAGAACUAUAUUUUGGUCAAGAUUGAAAUUUUAAAUUUUAAAAAUUACGAAAACUAAAAAUGGCCACAAGAUUGAAACUUUAAAUUUUGAAAAGUUCAAAAACUAAAAAUUAUACUAAAAAUAAUCAAAUUUAAGUACAAAAACUAAAUCCACAAGUUAUGCAUAAUUUAGGGAUUAAUAGUAGAAUUUAACCGAUACUUUUUUAUGAAUACCUAAUAAUUGUUCUCUGUAUUAAGUUACAAAAUAAAAAAGAGGAAAGGAAAUGAGGAUUGUGGCUAUCAGCCUCUUCAAUAUUUUUGUUUUUUAAAGAAGACUUCCAUUGUCUUGGUUGUCUGUCAUUGUCGUUAAUGAAAAGUCUUGCCCUCUUGAGGUAUUUCUAGGAAGGAAAAUAAAUGUUGUUUUGAUUAGUUGAAGCAUUUAGUCUUCUUCACAUAGUUGAAUUUGAUUAGUUGGAUAAGGUUUGCUUUGAUUAGUCAAAACCUAAAUUCAUUUUUUUAUUAAGUAUUCAAACAAAAAAAUUUCAACUCAAAUUCAAAUUUUGCAAAUGAAGCAUAAAUCCAAAUGAAACCAAAAGAUUAAAUGAAACCAAAAGAUUUUCAAUGUGGCUUGCGACGUAUUGGACUGGGAAAUUCCAUCCUCGACGAAGAUUAGUUGCUAAAUAUUUUUGGUCAAAUUCUUUUUUAGUCCUUAUAUAUUCAAUAACUUAUGGAUUUAAUCUUUAUAUUUUAAUUAGGUCAACUUUUUGUCCAUUUUCUUUUGAAAUUGAUCAAUUUUAGUCCCUAUAUUUUUAGAAUUAGGACACUCCAACAGCAUCUGUGAUCUACUGAGGUGGGUAAUUGUUGAAGCAUUAAUAAAUUUCUGAUGAGUUUCGAGGGCUAACAACACUUGUUGACGCCAUAGAAGGUCAUUAAAGACAUCAAGAACAAUAUUAAUUUUCUUGGUAGAGAACAAUCGGUUGUCCACAGCUCCUUCAGCAAGAUCGAUAAGAUUGCCUCGAGUUUCAGAAACACAUGGCGGAUCCAUGAUCGAUGGCUGUUGUGCCAUGCUAAGAUACAGCUAAAAUAUCAUGUUUGGCUACUAAGAAAGUAAAAUACAUGAGAGAAAGAAUCAAGAAUUUGUAUUCAUCAUACUUGAGAAUAUGAGACUGACGGACUUACAAUUUAUAGAACUUGAGCUGCACAACUAACUAUUGUUAUAAGCUAAACAACAACUAGUAAUUACAAUCUAACUAACCAACUGAUCAAUUGACUUAACAGUCAAGCUAACAGACUAGCUAACAGUUGAUAGAACUUGAGCUGCACAACUGCACAACCAAAUUAUGGCAAAAUUUUUCAAUGUCUUCGAAGAUGUUCAUCAUCCUUUAUUCCUUUUUUACAUCUUUUGUUCUUUCAGCAUUUGUUCCUUUUUUACAUAUUUCGAGAUGAUGUAUGUUGAGAGAGAGGAUUUUGAGCUUUCUUAACAUUCCUUAAUGUAUGCAUUGCUAGUUGUGUAACCAAAGGCUGCAGUUCUUCACAGUGUGGAAAUCUUACCAUUAGGUACCCAUUUCGAUUAAAAAUUAAAACUUGAAGAUGGAUUAAUCAAAACCUAAAUUCAAAUUUUUAUUAAAUAUUCAAACAGAAAAAAUUAAAUUUAAAUUUAAAAUUUUUAUCUCAAAUUCAAGUUUGCAAAUGAAGCAUAAAUCCAAAUAAAACCAAAAGAAUUUCGAAUGUGGCUUGUGACGUAUUGGUCAAAUUCUUUUGCUAGUCCUUAUAUAUUCAAUAAGUUAUGAAUCUAAUCUUUAUACUUUAAUUAGGUCAAUUUUUUGUCCGUUUUCUUUUCAAAUUGAUCAAUUUUAGUACCUAUCUUUUAGAAUUUUAAAUUUUAAUCUUGACUUGGUAACAGUUAAAUUGUCCAAUAUUUUUCAAAUUGAUCAAUUUAGUCCCUAUACUUUUAGAAUUUUAAAUUUUAAUCUUGACUUGGUAACAAUUAAAUUGUCCAUUUUCUUUUCAAAUUAAUCAAUUUUAGUCCCUGUGUUUUUAGAAUAUUAAAUUUUAAUCUUAACUUGGUAACACUUAAAUUCGUUUAAUUAAAACCGACUACUAGUCUUAUAAUAUUUGUGAAAUUAUAAAUUAAGUCUAUGUUCUCCAAUCUGAUCAUUCUUAAUCCUUGUAUUUUUGGAAAUUUGAAAUUCUAAUCUUAAUGCAACAUUAACUGACUUAUUUUUAAUAAUAUGAAGAAAUAGCAAGCUGUCAUGAUAUUAUACAUGCUAUAAUAUAUUUGCUAUAUAAGAUUUUGAAAAUAUUAGCAUAACUUAUUGAAUUUAAGAACUAUCAUUUGGUCAAGAUUGAAAUUAUAUUUUUGAAAAUUAAUAAAACUAAAAAUGGCCACAAGAUUAAAACUUUAAAAUUUGAAAAGUUCAAAAACUAAAAAUUAUACUAAAAAUAACCAAAUUUAAGUACAAAGACUAAAUCCACAAGUUAUGCAUAAUUUAGGGAUUAAUAGUAGAAUUUAUACAAUACUUUUUUAUGAAUACCUAAUAAUUGUUGUUCUCUAUAUUAAGUUACAAAAUAAAAAAGAGGAAAGGAAAUGAGCUGGGUUGUGGCUAUCAGCCACUUCAACGUUUUUGUCUUUUAAAGAAGACUUGCAUUGUCUUGGUUGUCUGUCAUUGUCGUUUAUGAAAAGUCUUGCCCUCUUGAGGUAUUUCUAGGAAGGAAAAAAAAGUAAUAAACUUGUUAUUCCAGUUAAAGCUCACAUUCGUCAAAGUCUUCUGUCCUCGUUAAUGCUUCUUCUCAUCUUGAGAUAUUCUCUGCAUAUUUCCCUGAUUUAGUUAGAAGCUUCACUGUUGCUCUUCUUCUCUACCAAAUUAUUAGCAUGUCAUAUUUAAAAGUAAAACUCUCAUUGUUUGGUCACCUAAUGCCCACUUUUGUUUUAUUUCUGAUUCUAUUCCCCGGUGCUUCUGUUGCUAGGCAUCCUUUUAACCAGAACUGCGACUCUACUUUCUGUGGGAAUUUGAAUAUCAGUUUUCCAUUCCGAUUAAAAAACCAACCUCCCCACUGUGGUUGCCAUGACCUGGAACUUGAGUGUGAGAAUAACAACCACACCUCUUUGGUCUUGAGAGAAGGGAAAUUCUCUGUCCAAAAUAUUUUUUACGAAAAUGAAACAAUCCAAGUGGUGGAUUCAAGCCUGGACAAGAAUGAUUGCAACUCCCUUCCUCUCAGCUCAGUGUAUUUCAAUUAUUCAGAUGGAUAUUAUAUUUUUUCUCCUCAUUAUUAUACUCCUCCUCAUUGGAGUUAUUUUUUUUCUCAUCGUUAUUAUACUUACUAUUAUAAUACUGAUUAUCUUAAAACUUAUUAUUAUAAUACUUAUUCCUCUUAUAAUAAUAAAAGAGAGUCACAGCCUAGCAUCAUGUAUGUUGUGAAUUGCACGAAACCUAUAAGAUCAUCUCAAUAUAUCAAUGCCUCUCGUUGUACCACUAAAUCCAAUACCUCUUCCCCUCCAACUUCUUUUUUCUAUUUUUUAGAUGAAAAUACAGUGCUAAAUCUCAAUCAAGCUUGCACAGUGGAAGCGGUGGUUCCAAUUAUGGUUAAGAGUAUAUCAGGCAUGUCUACGUUGACUAUCUACAACAAGCUAUCUGAGGGUUUUUACCUUUCAUGGAAUUACCACCGGAGCGACAGACUUUAUCUGUAAGUUUCUACUAGUAUUUAAGUUACAAACCCUUAGGUUGAGUAUGAUCAACUUUCUUAUUUUCUCAGCUAAAGUAAAAUAUAUAACUAAAAUCCGAAAAGGGUAGAUCUAUAGAAAAGUAUAGUGACAAAAACACCUUAAUCCAAUCCAAUCUCCAAAGUGAAAGUAAAAAAUUGAUGAGCAUUGGAUUUUUUGGCUCAGACCAACUGCAUCUGCUUUCUUUUUCCUCUAUUUUUGAGUUUCUGUUUGAACCACUUCUUUUAACUUGUUUGUUUUUCCUCUGCAAAUUAAUUUACACUAAAAUAUAAAAAUUACAGAGAGUUUGUGUGAUAAGUUAAUAAGACACUCAGAUAUACUUCUCUAAUAAAACUAGUCUUAUGCAUUGAAGAAUAGAAAUGAAUAAUGGAUAAAACUGAAAAAAAUAAUUACAUUCAGAGGAGUAAAAAAUAAAAGUGCGUUACUAAAUAAAUAAAUCUUUAUUUUUUUUCCAAAAAUUAUACCACGUACAUCAUAAAGUAUAUAGGAAAUUGAAACGAGAAAAAAAUAAAAUAAAGUUACUAAAAUGUAACGACUUUGAAACAUUUAAAAAUGCCUAACGAAUAAAGUCUUUGAAUACCAUUAUAUAACAUAAAAAAUUCUUAAAAUUUGUGAUUUUAAUAUGAAAUACAUGUUAAUAAAAUUUGGUUCACUCUACUGGAUACUGCAGAUGGGAUUAUGUUUCUGACCUUUUGUCUUCGAUCAUCGUCUUCGGAAUAGUUUGCGGAGUAGUUAUAAUAGGUACGCAUACGGUCUCACUUUUAUAUCUACCGAACAUUAUACUUUGUUCCGUUUUAAAAAUUAUUUUUUAUUUUCAUUUUCAUAUUCAGAAAAAAUAUUUUAAUUGAAAAAUAUAUUUGGUAAAUAAAAAUAAAAAUAAAUAUUUUUAAUAUUAAAAACAUGAAAAUACGUUUAGUAAUUUUUUUCUAACAUAAAAAAAAUAAAAAAAAUUAUAUUUCUAUGAGUUCAAAUCACGAUACACAUUUAAGAUUAGAAAAACCCUUGCCUAAAAAAAUUAAAAUCCCUUGUUCUCAUAUUUUUAAUUUUGCAAAAAUAUUUUUAGUAAAAACAAUAAAAAAUAUUUUUAUAUUUUUUAAGUUUCAUAUAUUUUUAUUUUUAUUUUUCAGAAAUUUCAAAGUUCAAUAUUUUUCAUUUUCUAAAAAAAAGAAAAUAAAAAUAGCACUGUUUUUUAAACUAAAUGCAACUUUAGAUUUUCCUCUGCCAAAAUAAAAUUUAUUUUUAGAAUGUAGAUAAUACGUUGAUUUCACAAUGCACUGAUGUUUUCUAAUAUGUUUUUCUUGAAAGGUAUUUCCAUCAUACUGAGGCCCUUCUUUGGGAUACCUUGUUUGCUUGUGCUUGUAAUCUAUAAAUGGAGAAGAAGACAUUUAUCCAUGGAUGAUAAGAUUGAAGAGUUCCUUCAAAGCCACAAUCUAGCUCCAAUUAGAUACUCUUUCAAACAAGUUAAAAAAAUGACUAAAAAUUUUAAAGAUAAAUUAGGUGAAGGGGGUUAUGGUUCGGUGUUUAAAGGAAAGCUUUGUAGUGGACAUCAUGUGGCAAUAAAAUUGUUGUGCACAUCAAAGGGUAAAGGCGAAGAUUUCAUAAAUGAAGUUGCUUCUAUUGGUAGAAUUCAUCAUGCAAAUGUGGCAAAACUUAUUGGAUUUUGUGUGGAGGGAUCAAAACAAGCUCUCGUGUAUGAUUUCAUGCCAAAUGGAUCGUUAGAUAAAAUCAUAUUUUCUGAAGAAAACAAGAACACUUUAAGUUGGAAAAAACUAUUUGAUAUUGUGAUUGGAGUUGCUCGAGGAAUCGACUACUUGCAUCAAGGAUGUGACAUGCAAAUUUUACAUUUUGAUAUCAAGCCACACAACAUUCUUCUAGAUGAGAAUUUUAAUCCAAGAAUUUCAGAUUUUGGUCUUGCUAAGUUGUAUGCAAUAGAUGAUAGCAUUGUCUCUCUCACUGCAGCACGAGGAACAAUAGGGUAUAUUGCUCCUGAAUUGGUUUACAGAAAUCUUGGAGGCAUUUCAUACAAAGCUGAUGUUUAUAGUUUUGGAGUGUUGGUGCUAGAAAUGGUAAGGAGAAAGAAUUGGAAUGCACUUGCCAACCACACUAGCCAAAUAAAUUUUCCAUCUUGGAUUUAUGACCGGCUAGAUCAAGGAGAGGACAUGGAGCUGGGAGAUAUUUCUGAUGAUGAAGAAGUAAUGAUAAGGAAGAUGAUAAUAACAGCCUUUUGGUGUAUACAAUUAUUACCAUAUGAUCGUCCUUCAAUGAAUGAAGUGUUAAAGAUGCUUGAAUCCAAUGUCGAACUCCUUGAGAUGCCUCCAAAGCCAUUUCAUCAACUUCCUCUUGAAACAUCAACGGAGGUUCAUAGCUGUGAGAACUCUAAUGAUGAGGAAAGUGUGUUGUUACAUAACCAGUUUUAAUGUCGUUUAAGAUUGGAAACAUUUCCUGACAUUAUCUUACCUUUGUAGCUUUAUAUAGUUUUUUCCUUUCGUAUGUAUUAGUAUCUUGUGUGUGUAUUGCAUAUGUACAUAAAUUAUUUAAAAAUCAAUGUUUGUUUUGAUUUUAAAUAAAUAAUAUUGAAGUGAUACUUUGUAGGAUUCUUGAGCUCCUUCACAACAUAAGUGUCUUUAUGAAUUGAUUCAAAAGGAGGGUUGAAAUAGAUAGGAAAUAAGGGAAAACUAAACAGAGGAGAAAAAAUAUAUGAUAUAGUGAUUAGUUGAAGCACUUAGUCUUCUUCACAUAGCUGAAUUUGACUACUCAAAAUGAUUGAUGUAUAAUAUACCAAACUUGUGAGCUUAUGAUUUUUGUUCUCCAUAAUCAUCCCGGCCCCUUACAGUUUUACUUAGCAUACCAAAAAUAGAGCCUCAAUUCUCUUUUUUUUUUUUUUCCCCCUUAAGAAGAAUUGACUUGUAUUGACUUAGUGGGUCAUAAUAGUGGGGUUGGCAACCACGUCUCCUCUUUUUUUUUUUAAGAAAUAAUUUACGAAUUUUAUUGGUUAAAUUUGGUUUUUUGUCUUUAUAUUAUUUUUUAUAUUUUAAUUUGGUUACUUUUAACCUCUAUGUUUUUCAAACUUAAGAGUGCAGUCAUUGCAAAAUGGUAGUUGUUAAAUUCAUUAAGUUCUACUAAUUUCAAAUUUUGGCAUGGCAAACAUAUUUCUACAUGUGUAUUGCAAUGUUAACUUGUUAUUUCUACAAAUUACUCACUAAAAACCUAGUUAAUAGAUUUAAUUCUCGUCAUUUGCUUCAAGAUUGAAAUGUCAAAAUUCAAAAAGUAUUGCGAUUGAAAUUUAUGGACUGCAAAUAUAAUUUUACAAAUAGUGAAAAUUAAUAGCAGAAUUCAACUAACCAAAUUUAACUACUACCUUUCCGUUGGUGUUAAAAUUUCAAAAUUUUAAAAGUACAUAGAGUAAAAUUUGUUGAGGCAAGUUUUGGAAGCAAUAACUCAAGCAAUGACUGUAAUGCCCCAAUUUUUACCCGGCCCAUAAUAAACCAAUAAAAGUCCAGGUUUUUUUUACAAACCCAAUUAAUAAACCCAAAUUACAUCAGCAAGCCCUAACCACAAAUAGAAACCCUAGCCUAACUCGAAGUGGCCCAUUUUCUUGAAGCAUCCAGAAACCCCUAGGGUUUCUGGAAUGAUUUGCGCCGCAGCCAAGCGAGGCUCCUCCCCGUGCAUACAUCGGCCUCCCCCACGUGUGUCUCGCCUCCAGCUGUACCUGUAGCAACAAACAACCAACGACAACAGCAAAAUAAAGGGAAAAACGACUAGUCUAUUAACUUGGUAACACUUAAAUUAGUUUAAUUAAAACCGACGACUAGUCUUUUAAUAUUAGUGAAAUUAUAGAUUAAGUCUAUGUUCUCCAAUUUGAUCAUUCUUAAUCCUUAUAUUUUUUGGAAAUUUGAAAUCCUAAUCUUAAUGCAACAUUAACUGACUUGUUUUUAAUAAUAUGAAGAAAUAGCAAUAUGUCAUGAUAUUACACAUGUUAUACUAUAUUUGCUAUAUAAGAUUUUGAAAAUAUUAGUGUAAUAGCCCAUUUUUGCCCGGGCCCAAAAAAAACCAAAAAUAAAUAAAUUAACAGUCCCAGUCCAUUUACAACAAACCCAACAGGCCCAAAACCCUAACGGCCGAAUAUGGCCUAAAAACUAAACGAAAUCAGAGAACCCUAGGGUUCCCUCCUCUCUCUCGCGCCGCAGCCUGCCCCAUGUGCACCCUUGGCGCGCACAACGCUCAAUGAUAACGCCUUCACCAGUGUUGCACCAAAAUGGCAAAGAUUUCUGCCCAUUGACUCCCCAUGACCUGCAAAACAGAUGAAAACAACAACCAAGAGACAAAAACAGUAGAGGCAGCGUAAUAGAAGUAUUUAAAAUAGUGAAAAAUAAAAGAAAAAGAUAUAUUGUAUUUUGUCUUUGGUUAUAUAAGCCCAGAAACCAAACGAUGUAAAAGGGGGGCUUCUUCCUUUUUUACGAACAUUAAUAAAAAAAAAACAGAAAACAGAUCGAAGGUGAUUCUUCUUUACUUUUUUUUCGAUUCCUUUUUUAUUUUUAUUUUUAUUUUUUUCUACAUACUAAAUAAUAAAAAUACAAGAAGAAGAGGCUUACUAGAGGCACUCGGUGAUCGAGCCUAGGGGGCAUUCUCCAUCGUCAGGGGGUCUACGCCACCGUCGGGCCAGAUCCGAAAGGAUGUUGGGGCUCUUCUCUUUCGUUUCGGCGUUGAGAGGGCUCAACCCCUGAGGGCACUGCAAGACAAGGGCCGAAAAGCCCAUUUUCUUUAUCGCCAUCCACGGCCAUGACGGUCACGUGAUGGACGGACGGUGGAACCCUAGCCGAAUUUUGGGGAGGGGUUGAAGUUUGAGAGAAUUUUGUUUGAUUUUUUUAGAGGAAAGGAGAAAAGGAAGGAUUUUUUUUUAAAAAAAAAAUUAGCUUUUAUAGCAUUAACAAAUGGCGUCGGUUUGAUCUUGGGGUUCAGAGGCCAAAAUGGCGUCAUUUUGACCUCUAACCUGUGACCCGACCCAAUAGCUCACGGGAUCCGCAUGUUUUUAUGGUGAAUGAGAUAUUUGCGCAUGGGGUCCCUCUGCUUUUGCGCCGUGAUGCAAUCUGGUCCCUUCAUUUCUUUUAUUUUGGCCCCAUAAAUUUUAUACUUGUUUCAUUUUGGUCUAUGUUGAAACGCUGUGCUUUAGGGCUGGGAAUAUUGCCCAUUCAGUCCCUAAUUCCUUAAGCGCGCUCCAUCUUAGUCCCGAGCCACCCUCUUUUAUUUAUUUGCAAUUUAAGCCUCAGAUUUUGGGUCCGUUUUCAAUUCAGUCCCUAGCCGGUUUAAUUGAUUUUAUUUAUUUAUUUAUUAAAAAUAGUUUUAUUUAAUAUUUCAUCUAAUAUUUAUUUAUUCACUUAUUUGCAAUUUUGAUCAAACUUACAUUAGUUUUAUUUUAUUUAUUUAUUCAUUGUUUUUAAUAUUUACUUUUUUUAUUUUAUUCUUGCCAUUAUUAUUGCGAUUUUAUUCCGUUAUUUAUUUGUUAUUAUUCAAAUACUUUCGAAAAUUGGAUUUAUUAUUAUUAUAGUUAUUGUUGUGGUUAUUAUAUUGUCAUUUAUAUCAUUAUUUUUAUUCAUGCAUGUUAACAUUAAGAUUUAUCAAUAUCGAUGCUAUAUGUAUAUUUUAUUAUGCAUGUUAUGUCAUGGUUAUUUAAAAUGUAUGUUGAACUAUCAUAUUUAGCCACGUAUAACUCCUUUUACGUAUUAAACGAUUUCUCUAAAAAGCUAAUAAAUUAAACGUAUAUUUUUAGGCAUUUCAUUUCCUUUUUAUCCAAAUAAAUUUUUUUUUUCAAAAUAAGGAAAUAUUUUGCGUUUGAAAAUUCGAGAAAACGUGCCCUAACGUGUUGGUUUUCGAUUUCUCGUUCGACCAAAUAGCCAAAUAUCCUCUUAAAAUUUAGAAGUAUGGGUUUUGAAAACCAUAAGGUAAUCUCAGUUUUGAGGGUUUAAAGUAUUGUAUCGUAAUGUGUUGGAUGUGAUAUUAUUUCAGAACAAGAGAAUCCUAAAUUCCAACCCAUGUUAUUCGAGUUUUUUUAAGGAUCGUAUUUUUAAAACUCUUUAAAGUUUUCAAUCUUCGACACUAAGACAAUAAUUAAUCAACUAGGUACCAAUUUUGAGCUUUACGAGGGUGCUAAUCCUUUCUCGUACAUAACCGACUCCCGAACCGUUUUUUUUUUUAAUUUCGUGGACCAAAAUUGUUGUUUUAAUAAAAUCAAAUCGUUUAUUAAAAAAACCACUUUUCGAGGUGACCCGAUCACACCUCAUCAAAAAGGAUUGGUAGCGACUCUCGUAUUCGUUUUCAUUUUCAAAAUUAAAGUCGAUUCUGUUUUACAAAAAAUGGUUUCAACAAUUAGCAUAACUUAUUGAAUUUAAGAACUAUAUUUUGGUCAAGAUUGAAAUUUUAAAUUUUAAAAAUUACGAAAACUAAAAAUGGCCACAAUAUUGAAACUUUAAAUUUUGAAAAGUUCAAAAACUAAAAAUUAUACUAAAAAUAAUCAAAUUUAAGUACAAAAACUAAAUCCACAAGUUAUGCAUAAUUUAGGAAUUAAUAGUAGAAUUUAACCGAUACUUUUUUAUGAAUACCUAAUAAUUGUUCUCUGUAUUAAGUUACAAAAUAAAAAAGAGGAAAGGAAAUGAGGGUUGUGGCUAUCAGCCUCUUCAAAAUUUUUGUUUUUUAAAGAAGAUUUGCAUUGUCUUGGUUGUCUGUCAUUGUCGUUAAUGAAAAGUCUUGCCCUCUUGAGGUAUUUCUAGGAAGGAAAAAAAAAGUAAUAAACUUGUUAUUCCAGUUAAAGCUUACAUUCGUCAAAGUCUUCUGUCCUCGUUAAUGCUUCUUCUCAUCUUGAGAUAUUCUCUACAUAUUUCCCUGAUUUAGUUAGAAGCUUCACUGUUGCUCUUCUUCUCUACCAAAUUAUUAGCAUGUCAUAUUUAAAAGCAAAACUCUCAUUGUUUGGUCACCUAAUGCCCACUUUUGUUUUAUUUCUGAUUCUGCUCCCCGGUGCUUCUGUUGCUAGGCAUCCUUUUAACCAGGAGGACUGCCGCUCUACUUUCUGUGGGAAUUUGAAUAUCAGUUAUCCAUUCCGAUUAAAAAACCAACCUCCCCAGUGUGGUUGGCAUGACCUGGAACUUGAGUGUGAGAAUAAUAACCACACCACUUUGGUUUUGAGAGAAGGGAAAUUCUCUGUCCAAAAUAUUUUUUACGAAAAUGAAACAAUCCAAGUGGUGGAUUCAAGCUUGGACAAAGAUGAUUGCAACUCCCUUCCUCUCAGUUCAGUGUAUUUCUAUUAUUCAGAUGGAUCAUAUUAUAUUUUUUCUCCUCGUAAUUAUACUUCUUAUUUGAGUCCUUUUUCUUUUCAUUAUUAUAAUUAUAUUACUUUUUCUUCUUAUUAUAAGAAAAGAGAGUCACAGCUUAGCAUUAUGUAUGUUGUGAAUUGUACGAAACCUAUAAGAUCAUCUCAAUAUAUCGACGCCUCUCGUUGUACCACCAAAUCCAAUACCUCUUCCCCUCCAACUUCUUUCUUCUAUUUUUUAGAUGAAAAUACAGUGCUAAAUCUCAAUCAAGCUUGCAUAGUGGAAGCUGUGGUUCCUAUUAUGGUUAAGAAUAUAUCAGGCAUGUCUACGUUGACUAUCUACAACAAGCUAUCUGAGGGUUUUUACCUUUCAUGGAAUUAUCAGCAGGGCGACAGACUUCCUCUGUAAGUUUCUACUAGUAUUUAAGUUACAUACCCUUAGGUUGAGUAUGAUCAACUUUCUUAUUUUCUCAGCUAAAGUAAAAUAUAAAACUAAAAUCCGAAAAGGGUAGAUCUAACCCAAACGGAUUGAAAAGUAUAGUGACAAAAACACCUUAAUCCAAUCCAAUCUCCAAAGUGAAAGUAAAAAAUAGAUGAGCAUUAAAUUUUUUGGCUCAGACCAACUGCAUCUGCUUUCUUUUUCCUCUAUUUUUGAGUUUUUGUUUGAACCACUUCUUUUAAUUUGUUUGUUUUUCCUCUGCAGUUUACACUAAAAUAUAAAAAUUAGUCUUAUGCAUUUCCGCUGAAAUUAAAAAAAAAAGUAUUCAUAUUAAAUAUAUAUAAAAAAAAAGCUUGAAAUAAAUAAAGAAGAAUAGAAAUGAAUAGUGGAUAAAACUGAAAAAAAUAAUUGCAUACAUAUUCUUCAGAGGAGUAAAAAAUAAAAAAUAAAAGUGCGUUACUAAAUAAAUAAAACAUUCAAUAUAUAUAUAUAUAUAUAUCUUUUCAUGAGAUACCAUUACAUAACAUAAAAAAUUCUUAAAAUUUGUGAUUUUAAUAUGAAAUACAUGUUAAUAAAAUUUGACUUACUCUACUGGAUACUGCAGAUGGCUACUUUAUAUUUUUGGCGUUUGGAGUACUUAUGGAAUAGGUAUGCAUACGGUCUCACUUUUACAUACACCGAACAUUAGACUUUGUUCCGUUUUAAAAAUUAUUUUUUAUUUUCAUUUUCUUAUUCAGAAAAAAAAUAUUUUAAUUGAAAAAUAUAUUUGGUAAAUAAAAAUAAAUAUUUUUAAUAAUAAAAACAUUAAAAUACGUUUAGUAAUUUUUUCUAACAUAAAUAAAAUAAAAAAAUUUAUAUUCCUAUGAGUUCAAAUCACGAUACACAUUUAAGAUUGGAAAAACCCUAGGCUAAAAAAUUUAAAAUAUUUUUCAAAAAUUUCAAAGUUCAAUAUUUUUCAUUUUCUAAAAAAAAGAAAAUAAAAAUAACACAUUUUUUAAACUAAAUGCCACUUUAGAUUUUCCUCUGCCAAAAUAAAAUUUAUUUUGAGAAUGUAGAUAAUACUUUGAUUUCAAAAAGUACCGACGUUUUCCAAUAUGUUUUUCUUGACAGUUGUUUCCAUCGUACUGAGGCUCUUCAUUGGGAUACCUUGUUUGCUUGUGCUUGUAAUCUACAAAUGGAGAAGAAGACAUUUAUCCAUGGAUGAUAAGAUUGAAGAGUUCCUUCAAAGCCAUCAUCUAGCUCCAAUUAGAUACUCUUUCAAACAAGUUAAAAAAGUGACAAAAAAUUUUAAAGAUAAAUUAGACGAAGGGGGUUAUGGUUCAGUGUUUAAAGGAAAGCUUCGUAGUGGGCAUCAUGUGGCAAUAAAAUUGUUGUGCACAUCAAAGGGAAAAGGCCAAGAUUUCAUAAAUGAAGUUGCUUCUAUCGAAAGAAUUCAUCAUGCUAAUGUGACAAAACUUAUUGGGUUUUGUGUGGAGGGAUCAAAACAAGCUCUUGUGUAUGAUUUCAUGUCAAAUGGAUCGUUAGAUAAAAUCAUAUUUUCUGAAGAAAACAGGAACACUUUAGGUUGGAAAAAACUAUUUGAUAUUGUGAUUGGAGUUGCUCGAGGAAUCGACUACUUGCAUCAAGGAUGUGACAUGCAAAUUUUACAUUUUGAUAUCAAGCCACACAACAUUCUUUUGGACGAGAACUUUAACCCAAAAGUUUCAGAUUUUGGUCUUGCUAAGUUGUACUCAGUAGAUGAUAACACUGUCUCUCUCACUGCAGCACGAGGAACAAUAGGGUAUAUUGCUCCUGAAUUGGUUUACAAAAAUCUUGGAGGCAUUUCAUACAAAGCUGAUGUUUAUAGUUUUGGAGUGUUGGUGCUAGAAAUGGUAGGAAGGAGAAAGAAUUUGAAUGCAUUUGCCGGCCACACUAGCCAAAUAUAUUUUUCAUCUUGGAUUUAUGACCGGUUAGAUCAAGGAGAGGACAUGGAGCUGGGAGAUAUUUCUGAUGAUGAAAAAGUAAUGAUAAGGAAGAUGAUAAUAACAUCCUUUUGGUGUAUACAAUUAUUGCCUUCUGAUCGUCCUUCGAUGAAUAAAGUGUUGAAAAUGCUUGAAUCUAACGUUGAACUCCUUGAGAUGCCUGCAAAGCCAUUUCAUCAACUUCCUCUUGAAACAUCAACAGAGGUUCAUAAUUGUGAGAACUCUAAUGAUGAGGAAAGUAGGUCAUUGGAUGUGGUUACUAUAUCCAGUUUUAAUGUCGUUUAAUAUUGGAAACAUUUCCUUUCAUUAUCUUACAUUUGUAGCAUCAUAUAUAUUUUGCCUUUCAUAUAUAUUAGUAUCUCGUUAUGUGUAUUGUAUUUGUACAUAAAUAUGUAUUUGAAAAAUAAAAGUUGUUUUGGUUUUUAAAUAAAUAAUACUGAAGUGAUACUUUGUAGGAUUGAUGAGCUGCUUCACAACAUAAGUGUCUUAUGAAUUGAUGCAAAAGGAGGCUUGAAAUAGAUAGGAGAUAAGGGAAAAGUAAACAGAGAGGAGAGAAAAUAUGUUACAGUGAUUAGGUAAAGCACUUAGUCUUCUUCACAUGGUUGAAAUUGACUACUCAAAAUAAGAUACUAGGGUAGAAUAAUUGAUGUAUAAUAUACCAAACAAUUGUUAGCUUAUGAUAUCCAUUCUCCAUUAUCGUCUCCCUUACAAUUUUACUUACCAUGUCAAAACCAGAGACUCAUUUGUCUUUUUUUUUUUUCUUAAGAAGAAUUGACUUGCAUAGACUUAGUGGCUUAUGAAAGUGGGUUGGAAAUGACGUCUCCUUAUCUUUUUUUUUUUUUAAAGAAAUAUUUUACAGAAUUUAUUGGUUAAAUUUGAUUUUUUUUGUCUUUAUAUUAGUUUUUAUACUUUAAUUUGGUUAUUUUAACUUUUAUACUUUUUUAAUUUAAAAUUUCAAUUGUAACAGGCCAAUUCUACCCGGCUCACUAACAAAGAUAAUAUAAUAAACAAAACCGAAUAAAUAAAAGUCCAAUAAAUAGUCCAGUUAAUUUACAAAAUGUCAGACUCAAAUUACAUCAAGCUCAAUAGGCCUAAAUUAACAAAAAGCCCUAAUGGUCUAAUGGCCCAACAGCCUAAACUUAGAAGAAAAAAAAAACCCUAGCCCCAUUGAACAAAUAUAUAUAAAAAAAUAUAAAAAUUGUAUGAAAUGGCUAUAAAAGCCAUUGAACAAACCUGUAAGAGGCGUUUUUUUUUUAAAUAGUAAUAAAAAAAAGCAAUCAAAGUAAUAAAAUCAACAGAAUAUCAAAAUUUGAAGGUGAUUUAUUUUUCUUUUAUUUAUUUUUUUCAAGUCUUUUUAUAUAUAAAAAUACAUAAAAUAAGAAGGGAAGGGUUUGGAACACUCACUGAGCGCUUCGGGCUCUGCCACUGUGGGUAGACGAGGUCACCACCUCCGAUGACUGGUGGUUCUGACGAGGAGAUUUUUAAACUUAGAAACCAAAAGGUUUCUUCGAGAUUUUUGGCGAUUCGGUGAGUUUUUGGAAACAUCAGUCCCAGACUCGAGCUCGGGGAGCCAAAACAACCAAAAGGGGGUUUUUUUAUACUUUUUUGGCCACUGUGGAGGGGGAGCUGUCGCCAGCGACCGACGGCCAUAGCGACGGAGCUCGGUGGCUCCCUUGGUUGGACCUAGGGGCUAUUUCAAAGAAAAGGGAAAGAAGAGAGGAUUUUUUUUAAGGUAGAGAGGAAAUUAUUUUUUUUUCUAAAAUUUUUGGUUUUUAUAGGUCUCCAAAACGACGCCGUUUUGGGAGUGACCUCAGACACCCAAAACGUCACUCCCAAAACGACGUUGUUUCAAUGCCGACCCGAAGUCCGACCCGAUCCUAGGAUCCGCGUGUUUUUUGAAGGGGUCUAUUUGUGCAUUUAGUCCUUUCGUUUUUAUGGCCUGUUUCAAUGCUGUCCUAUUUUUUUUAAUUUAUACCGUUUAAUUUUAAGUUCUUUUAUUUUGGUUCUUGUGAGAAAUGGUGUGCAUAAGGACAGGGGGUAUUUUUCUAUUUGGUCCCUCCUCUUUUUUGCAUGUUACAAUUUAGUCCUUUAUUUUUAUUUUUAUCCCAAUUUGCCCCUAAAAUUCUACUUAAGUUUUGAUUUAGUCCUUCUUAUAUUUAUCACUUAUUUUUAUCAUAAUUUAGACUCUUAAUUUCAUUUCAAUGUUGAUUUAAUCCUUAUUUAUUUAAUUUUGACUCUGUCUAGAUUUUUUAAAAUAUUUUUUAUGUAUUAUUUAUUUAUUUAUUUUAUUUACUUAUUAUUUCCUUUACUUUUUUAAAUAUUUAAAAUUGAUUUGUUUUUGUGUUUCCUUUUUAUUGUGCGUUUUUUUAAGAAAUAAUUUACGAAAUUUAUUGAUUAAAUUUGGUUAUUAGUCUUUAUAUCAUUUUUUUAUAUUUUACUUUGGUUACUUUUAACCUCUAUGCUUUUCGAACUUAAGAGUGUAGUCGUUGCAAAAUGGUAGUUGUUAAAUUCAUUAAGUUCUACUAAUUUCAAAUUUUGGAAUGGCAAACAUAUUUCUACAUGUGUAUUGCAAUGUGAACUUGUUAUUUACACAUAUUACUCACUAAAAACCUAGUUAAUAGAUUUAAUUCUUGUCAUUUGCUUCAAGAUUGAAAUGUCAAAAUUCAAAAAGUAUCGGGAUUGAAAUUUAUGGACUACAACUACAAUUAUACAAAUAGUACUAAAAAAUUAAUAGCAGAAUUCAACUAACCGAAUUUAACUACUACCUUUUGGUUAGUGUUAAAAUUUCAAAAUUUAAAAAAGUACAUAGAGUAAAAUUUGUUGAGGCAAGUUUUGGAAGCAAUAACUCAAGCAAUGACCAUUGCACAAGUUUUAUAAAUUGCCUUAUUUGUUGGCAUGUUUGACCAAAUUAUCUUGAUUAUUUUCUUGCAUCUAUUUUGUGGAUAUUUGUGUAAAUAAUCUCAUAUUUAUUAUUGAAGAAGAGAUUGAAUCAAGCAAAUUUACUUUCCAAGAAUUUUUAUGUGAUCUAUUUAUCUUAUAUACUAAUAUUUGCAGUCUAAGAUAAUUUGGACAUAUAAUUAUGGAUAGAAGUUUGCUUAGUGAAGCUUGAUUCAUGCUCUAAAUAUAGAAAUAUUGUUCAACCUUAAUAGAGGUUUGAUUGUUGAGGUAAGUAUGUGAGUAGUGGAUCACACAGUGCCAAUGGUAAUGACCACUGUGCUUAGCACAACAACAGAUAACAUAAUUUGCAUUAAUUGAAGUUUGCAAUCUUUUCAGUCAAAUUAAUUGGGUAAUGACUUAAAUGAUUUUGUGAAUGUCUACUGGCCCAUAUUUGAAGACUCAUUUUGUGGAGCAAAAUAUAUUUAAAGAUCGGGUUGAUUUAGAUCAAGGAAUCAAAUCUGAGAUUAUAAAAAUGAUAAUGCCAAAAAAUUAAUUUUUAUAAGAAUUAUAAAUAAUUUAAUACCCAUUUUUUGGGUUGACUUAAACUUAAGUAAUUAGUUAUAGUAUACAUGAACUCGACACAAGCGUGAGUUAAUCUAUCAUCUCAACCAUUUGUAAUUAUUCAUCUUAAUAAUAUAUUUUUUAAAAUAAUUGAUAUGGAAGACCAUGACUAAUUGUUACGUAAAACAAUACAAUUCAUGUGGCAAAAGAAAAAUAUCAGAGGAGGCACCAAAAAAAUUCAGAAGAAUUUUAUUCGUUUACUUUGAUUUUUCAAAGUUUCAUUUACCCUAAACAAAACGUUUCAAUGCUUUUAUAUUUCCUUGAUUUUUAAACCCUUUCUUUAAAUAUUAAACUUGACUUGUCUUAAACGUCAUUCAUUGUAGUUGGGAUAAUUAAGAUGAUUGAGAUUUGUCUGCGAAUAUGUGGUCUAAAAUUAUUAAAUUUUUUAUCUGUACAAGCCCAAAUAUGCUCGGGCCCAAACUAAUAAACAAGCUCAAAUUAAACCUAAUAUCCAUCUAAGGCCCAAUUUACCCAAGCCCAUAUCAGCCUAAAACCAAAAAAGAAACCCUAGCUUCUCUGCCUCAGUGCCAUAGCAAACUGGCUCCGCAACUGCUCCCGCACGUCGCGCCUGCCGCUCCGCACACUUGCACGCAUUCUCCUCCAAGCACGUACCUGCAACGAAACUCAAAUAGCAAGAAUCAAGGGAUUUUUUUAUUUUUUUAUUAUUAUUUAUUUAUUAUUGUUAUUUCUCUAGGAUUCGGCUAUAAAAACCGAAUGGGGAAAUCGGUAAAUGGGGAGGGGGAUUUUUAGUGUAAAAAAAUAUACGAAAAUAGAGGGGAAAAUAGAGAGAAAUACAGAGGAAAUUUGUUUUUUUCGAAGGUUUUGCUUCUACUUUGAAGUGUUCAUCGUUUCUUUUUGUUUAUAUAUUUCUUUUUUAUUUUCUUUUAUUUUUCCAUUUUAUUUUACUUAAAACAACAAAGAAAAGAAGGGAAAAAUACUUACCUGUUCGUCGAGGUCGUCGUGCCACCACCAUCUCCGCCGUCAUCGGAGCUUUGGGUGGGGAGGCUGAUGAACGGCGGCACAAGGAUGCUAGGGUCGAAACCCUAACAGAGCAAAAGGGGCAGCAUUCUUUUUUUGUUUUAGAAUGGGCUAUCAAAAUUUUUAAAAGAAAGAUUUUGUUUUUAUUGAAACUUCAAAACGGCGCCGUUUUACCAAGGCAUAACCCGCUUGGUGACCCGACCCGGAGGGGGAGGGUCCGCGCGUUUUGACCCUAAAUAGUAAAUUUGCGCAAUUAGCCCCUCCUGGUUGUAACGCGCUUCAAUCAAGCCCAUUUUAUUUCUUUUAAAUUUAGCUGCAUGAUUUAUUUCUGUUUCAAUUUGGCUCAUGCUGCUGCGCAACGUUUUGAGAGAAUGAAUUAAUUUCUAUUUGGGACCUCGUCUUAUUGUGCGCGUUUUGAUUUGGUCCCUUUGCGUGUUUUCUAACUUUAAAUUCGGCCCUUAAACUUCUUUUAUUUUCGAUUUAAUCCUUCAUUUGUCAUUUUAGUUUGUUUUUAGUUUUUUAAUAUUGUUGAUAUUAUUAUUGUAUCCUUAUUGCUAUAUCGUUUGUUAUUUUUAUCAUCAUUAUUAUUUUAUUAUUCUUAUACAUUUACACACGCAUUUUUUUUAUAUAAUAUAUAUAUAUUUAUCAUUUUAUUUUCAUAUUUUUAUAUACACAUAUACAUACUUUUAUACUCUUAUUUUAUCUUUCACGAUUUUCAAACACAUCGUCAUGCAUUUUUAUUAGUUUUUGAUUGAUAUAUUCCAUUCCAUCUUUCUAUAUGUGUCCUUGUAUACGUGUGUUAAAUAUAUGCGUACACAUAUUUUCAAAUUUACUUGUAUAUUGUACUUGUAUAUAUAUAUUUUGUAAAUACAUAUUCAUAUAUGUUUUAAAUUAAAGUUUUGUUUCAUAUCGUACAUUGACUUUUAACAUACCCUUUGGGAAAUAUAUUUUGGUUUUGUCAAUAUAUCAAACUCACUUUUCUCUUGAUUCAAAGUUUUUUUAAAUAAAAGCAAUAUUCAAAGUUUGGGAUUUUCGAGGAAAUUGAGCCCUAACGUAUUGGGUUCCGAUUUUCUUUGUUAAUCUUAAAUAACCGAGAAUAUUCUUUAUUCAAAAUGCAUGAGUACAAAAAAAUCAUUUUUGGAAACUUAACUUGUUGUGUCCUAAUGUAUUGUGCAUGUCAUAUUACCUUCUCAAAAUAAAGAUUUUCGCAUAAAAUAAAACUGAUAUUCAAAGUUCGGGAAUUUUGAGAAAUUGUACCGUAACGUAUUGGGACUCGGUUUCUUUACAUGACUUGAACAAUUGAUUAUCCUUUUCAGAUUUCAUUAUUUGAAUUGUUUUAAAAUUCUUUUUAGCCAUCGACACUAAGACAUUAAAUAAUCAAUUUGGUACCGAUUUUGGACGUUACGAGGGUGCUAACCCUUCCUCGUACGUAACCGACUCCCGAACUCGUUUUCUCAAAAUUCGUAGACCAAAAUAAUCUUUAAGGUGAGCCGAUCACACCUUAAUAAAGGAUCGGUGGUGACUCCAGUUUUAUUUUUAAAGUCCACAACUAAAUUUUUGUUUUCAAAAAAUGGUUUCGACAUUAUCAAUUUAGAAAUAAUUUCAUUUUGGGUUACUAAAUAAAUUUUGAUGUGGUCAACGAAAUUAAAUUACAUUCUUAAUGAGAGUUAAAACGUAAAUUAAUCCUUAAUACUUUUAAAAUUCUAAAAUUAAGUUUAAGUCUGAUUCUUUAAUCGGAAAGUAAUCUUGUCUUAUUUAAAGAUAUUGAAUGCUGUUGUAAAUUUAUUAAUAUAAUUAUAGCCUAAAAGUUACUUGGUUUGAUUCUAUAUAUAUAAAACAAGAAAGAAAUCAAGAAUGUCACUGGUCAUCCGCUUUAUAUAUUCCUUCUCUGUUAUUUAAGUACAAAGAUUAAACCCAUAAGUUAUGCAUAAUUUAGGGAUUAACAGUAGAAUUUAAUCAAUAUUUUUUUAAUGAAUAUCUAAGAGUUGUUGUUCUCUAUAUUAACUUACAAAAUGAAAACGGAGGAAAGGAAAAGAGGGUUGUGGCUAUCGGCCUCUUCAAAAUAAAAACUUGCAUUGUGUUCUUUCAUGAAAAGUCUUGCCCUCUUGCUCCCCACUCCACAUGGUGCCAUAUCUCAUCUUGAGAUAUUCUCCACAUAUAUCCCUGAAUAUUAAAUUAAAUCUAUGACAUUAAAUCAAACAAAUAACUAUUUUUAUUGAUGCUUUUCUUUUUAAACUUCAACAAAUAUAUUAAAUUUGAAAAAUAAAUUUAAUGAAAAUUUAUAAAAAUGAAUUAGGAUUUGCUCCAAAUCUAAUUUUAUCUAAUUAAACAAUAUUUAUAUUAUGUAAUUUAUAUAAAAAAAUAUUAAGCUAAUAUAAGUAUUAGUUAAAAAAUUACAAGUGUAAUAGGUAGUGUUGGUAAUUCCAUUUUGGUAUUCAUCGAUUCACUCCAUUCUUAUCUUAAAUCAAGACUAUAAAACUUAUGUUCCCUGUUGAUUCAAAUUCUGUUGUGUUUCUACUUAUUUCAUCCACCAUGCUUAUGAUUUCAUACUUAUAAUACAAGAUUUUGGUAUUUUAAAUCAAAUUUAAUAAUUUUAUCUUAACCAUUUUUUUAUUUGUAUAAUUAUAUUAAAAUAAAAUACAACCAGUAAAUUAAGUUAUUAAACUUAAAUUAAACUUUAUAUUUGCAUAUAUAUAUUAUAAUUGAGAUGUAUUUGUAUGUAUAUAUAUAAAAAAAUAAAUUCGAAAUAAUAUAUUAAAAUAUAUUAAUAUUGAUACGUUAGAAACAAAACCACUAUACACCUACUGAUACAACAUUUACAAGCUUGAAAAUAUCAUCAACUUUUCUUCCCAUAUUUAUUUUUGCAAGUAUAUAAAUUUCAUAGUAUAAAUAUUAUUUGAUUAAAAAGAAUUAGAUAUGGAGAAAUCCCCAUCCAUUUGUAUUACAACCUCGUUCUUCUGUUUCUUUUAAAUUUGAUAUUUUUGUUCAAGCUUAAAAAGAAAAGUUUAAUAACAUUGUCGAAACCAUUUUUUUUAAAACUAAUUUUUAGUUUCGACCUAAAAAUGAAAAUUGGAGUCGCCACCAAUCUUUUAUUGAGGUGUGAUUGGAUCACCUAAAAACGAUUUUGGUCUUUGAGUUUUAGAAAAACGGGUUCGGGAGUCAGUUACCUACGAGGAAGGAUUAGCACCCUUGUAACCCCCAGAAUUGGUACCGAAUUAAUUAUCUAAUGUCUUAAGGUCGAAUGAAUAAGAUUUAAAAAACGAUUCUCCUUUUAAAAUCUUUAUUGAAAUUUAUUCAUUUGAAAACUAACAAAGUUUGGUCAUCUUGUUUCUAUGAAGAAAUCGAAACCUCAUAAGUUAGGGUACAAUUAUUUGAAAUUUUGACAACCACACACUAAUUUGCUUUUGUUUAAAAAAUUAUUAUCUCGAGAUAACAAAAUGUCGCACCCUGUGAGUUAGGACACAACUCUUUGAAUUCCCGAGAGUAAAUUUAAAUCUUGAAAUGUUUACAAUUUUAUUGAAAAAGGAUACUCAGCUAUUUAAAUUCAACGAAAAAAACUGAAGCCCAGUAAGUUAGGGUACAAUCUCCUCGAAAAUCUUGAACGCCGAAUAUUUUGAAAACUUAUGUAUAAAACAAUUUCAGUAGUUUAAACAAAUCAAUAAUAUAUCUAAAGAAUAAAAGUACUUUAGUAUAAAUUGUACAUGUAUAUAUAAAACAAUAUUAUAUAAAAACACUUUCAUAUAAAUCUUUAAAACAUAAAAAUAUUUAUAAAAUGAAUUUUUUUAAAAAACAUAUACUACAAAAUAAAAAGUACCAGAAUAUAUGCAUUAUACUGAAUUUUAAAAAGAAAUAAAAUAAUACAUCAUAAGAUAAAAUAAUAAUAUAUGACAGUGAUAUAAAUAGAAUGAAAUUAUGUAUGCAAAAAGGUUAGAUAAAUUGUAGUAAUAAUAAUAAUAAUAAUAAUAAUAAUAAUAAUAAUAAUAAUAAUAAUAAUGAAAUUCGAGAAUAAAAUAAAAUAGAACAAAAUAAAAAAAUCACAAUGAAAGGGAAAAAAUAAAAAUAAAGGAGUAAAUAAAAAAUAAAUAACCAAAACACGAAACAAAACUAAAAACAAGAUAGAGACAAAAAAAAAAGCUAGAUUGUCCUUGAAAUAAAAAAAUAUUUGAAAUGAAAUAGGGGCUGAAAUUAUAAAUAAAAAAUGCUAAAGGACUAAAUUGAAGUUUACUAAAAACGGGGUAAAAAUUGUAAGUAAAAAUAAAGGAGAGGGCCCAAUUGAAAGGCGCAAAUAAUUUAGAAGGACCCAUCGGGGAAAUAUCCCCCAUCCUCUGAAGCGCGCCAUUUGCUAGGGCCAAAUUGAAAAUGAAGUCGAAUUAUAAGUAUAAAUUAAAAAAUUAAAAAAAGGACUGAAUCGAAACAACUGAAAAAUACGGAAGGGUCUAACGCGCAAAUAAACUAUCAAAGGAAAAAACACGCGGAUCCUUCCCCUGGGUUGGGUCACCGCGCGGUUCAAGGGAGUGAAAUGAUGUCGUUUUGGGCAUCAAAAGCUAAGCCAAACGACGUCGUUUUGGGGUGUCUAUAUAAGUAAAGAAAAACUUUAAAAAACAUCUGUAGCCUCCUUUAAAAAAAAAACUCUCUUUUCUCUCAACUCUCUCCCCUUUUCUCUCCUUCUGGCCAAAACUCCGGCACCGGACCACCAGCGGCCGCCAUCCGCGGUGGCCGAAAAAUUUUAAAAAAUAUUUUUUUUGUUUUUUCAACUCUCGGCUUAAAAAAAAUACCGAUUUUCAUCGGAAUCGACACCUCCUCUGCAAUAAAGGUACGAUUUUUACCCUUUUCGUUUUUGUUUUCUUUCAAAAUAAAAAAAUAAAAAAACAAAAUAAAUAAAUAAAUAAAUAGACUAAAAAAAACAACUACCUUUGAAAAAGAUCUAUACUUGAAUUGAUUUUUUUCCAUUUUUCUUUGAUUCAUUCGUGUGUUCUAAAUACAUAAAUUCAGGGCCUUUUUAUAGCCCGAAAUUUCCUAUUUUCUCUACUUUUGCACUAUUUGUGUUAUUCUUGGACUCUCUUAGUCCAUUUUGCAGGUACAUAUGCGGCGGCACAUGCGAAGAAGGCGGCGCGAAGGGUGGCGUACGGCGACUGCGGUUUGUCUACUGUUGGGGGCGGCAACUGUUAUUUUUUUCUACUUAGGGUUUCUUGUUUUUUUCUUUUGUUUUGGGCUAGGGUUUAGUUGGGUUGUUUUGGGUAUUAGGCUAAUGGGUUAAUAGUUUGGGCCUGGUAUUGGGUUUUUGUAAUUUGGACAUUAAUUGGACUUUAUUUAUUUUGGUUUUUUAUUUUUUUGUUUAUGUGGGCUCGGGCCAAAAUUUGGGUUCUAUAGCUGCCCGUCUUAAUUCAUUAUCGUGCAACAGGAAUGAAGCAAAGACUUUAAUAGGGACAAAUUUUCCCGGUCUUGUCGAGUAUUGACUUCUUUUGGUGAGUAGCUUCACUCCGGCCCACUAUGUCUUCAAAGGUAUAGGAGCUGCCACUUCGAUCCACUCCACUGCAACGUCAGGGAGAUAGGAUUCGUAAUCUUUUGUCUGCCCCACUGCAACUUUAGGGGAAUAAGACUUGUAAUCUUCAGUUUGCUCCACAUAACUUCAGGGACAUAAGAUUCGCUAUCCUCGGCCUGCUCCACUGCAACUUUAAGGAGAUUAGACUUGUAGCUUCAACUUGUUCCACUGCAACGCUAGGAAAGUAAGAUCUAUUGUUGUAACUUCAAUCUAUUUAACUGUAAUGUCUGGGAACAAGAUUCGCUGUUAUAGCUUCAAUCUGUUCCACUAUACUGCCCAGGAAUUAAGAUUCACUAUUAUAGCUUCAAUCUGUUCCACUGUAAUGCCAAAGAGAUAGGACUGAUGGUUUAAAUCUGCUUCCCUACUACCUUAGAAAGAUAAGAUUCACCGUAUUUGAUCUGCUCCAUUACUGUUUAGGGAGACAGGAUCUACAUUCUUCAACCUACUCCACUGUUGCUCAGGGAGAUAAGAUUGGUGGCUUAAAUCUGCUUCCCUACUACUUUGGGAAGAUAAGAUUCACCGUCUUUGAUCUCCUCCAUUACUGCUUAGGGAGACAGGAUUUACAAUCUUCAACCUAUUCCAUUGCUGCUCAAUGAGAUAUGACUUGCUGUAAUUUGCUUCCCUACUACCUUGGGAAGAUAAGAUUCGCCAUCUUCGAUCUGCUUCGUCGUCAGUACAGGAAGGCAAGAUUUGCUAUAUUCACUGAUCUGUUCUCUAGGGAACAUGACCCGUAUAAUCCAUUUUAUGAACCUAAUUAUGCAUUGUGAUUAUGAUGACAUGAUCAGAAUGAAUCAAAUGCUCCUAGCUAGAUGUGUAUGAAUGACAUUUGAAUAAAUGCAGAAUGUCAUUUUUCUGAGAAUGAUCCUUCUUUAUCACUUAGGUUGUCAUUACUCAAAGUUUAAUAAGGUUUUAUCAUUGACGUGCUACAACGCCUUCUUGCUCAGUUGGCAUUUUCAAAUAACACUUAAUCAGACUACCCCCACUACGAACUCCAAAGUUCAAUCCAUUGAGAUGCAAAAUUUGUGUCAUCUUUCUCCUGCUGUAACCCAAUGAUAGAAAAAAUUUGGCUUUUCCUCAGCCCUCUCCUAUCGCAACUCAAGGAUACAAAGUGUGAAGCUCUUUGGCCCUUUACACCAUUCAAAUGUUCAUACACAAAUGAAGAAUUCUCUUCUCCAAGAAUAACUUCUUCUUAUUAUUCGGUGAUCAUUGCUUGCUUGUUCAUUUAAGCUUUGCCACCAACCCGACGUCUUGUCAUUUUGUUUAAUCAAUGCUUUGACAACAAAAUUCGAAGGGAUAGUCUUAACUUAGAUUUUCUUUCUUAAAUUUUCAACCUUUGAACUCGGUGCGUUCUAAAUAAUAGUCUUGUUUUAGACUACUAUAUUAUUUAGAAACUUCUAGAGUAAUAUGUAAAACUUCCAUUGUGAAAGUUUUAUUAGUCCAUUAAUCAUUAUUCUAAUGCAACAUGCUUACGAAAGAUUAUAACAGUGGAUAAGAAUAAAAUUGAUCUAGAGCAUAGCUCAAAAUGAAUAAAUUAUCGAGAAGGAUGUCUAAAAAAAAGAAUUGAUUGGGAACAAGUAUCUUAAAAAGAAUGAAGUAUUCCAAGAAUAGCAAAGAAACAAGUUCAAUAUAAAUAGUAUGAAGACUAGGUGCCACAGAUAUCACAGCUUGAGCUUCUCUAUACAAACUUUCUGAAGACAUGUGUUUAGAAGAUCUACAGUAUUCUGUUGAUGCCCUAAACGUCGCAUACCCCUUUCUUGUUAAUUCAGGCAUAGCAAAAUCACCAUAUGCCCAAAUCAAAAUUUUGAGUUACUCUGAUCACCUCAUGCCACAUCCUGAUCAAAAUCUGAGCUGCCUUUUUUGGGUUUUCAACUCAAAUCCCAUUUGGUCUCAAGGCGCCAUUUGUGGAUUUUCACCUUGGCCACUUAUUUUCUCUCUCCUUUUUUUUAGGACUCAAAGUGCCCUUUGCAGGUUUUCACCUUGAUCCCUUCUCCUUUUAAGUAAAGUACCUCUUGAUUGCAUCUGAGUUUAUAGGGUUUGGCAAGUUUUUACCAUCCAUCUCACUCAAGAUUAAAGCUCCUCCGAAAAAAGCCUUCUUUACAACAUAUGGACCUUCCCAAUUUGACAUCCAUUUUCCUCUGAAAUCCUUUUGUAUAGGAAGGAUCUUUUUCAAUACUAGGUCCCUCUCGUGGAAUUCUCUUGGACGAACUUUUUUGUUAUAGGCCUGCAUCAUUCGCCUUUGAUACAUCUAACCGUGUUGGAUAGCUUUUAGCCUUUUUCCCUCUAUUAAGUUUAACUGAUCGUAUCGAGACUAGACCCACUCUACUUCAUCCAACUUUAGCUUAACCAAUAUCCGGAGAGAAAAGAUUUCAACUUCGAUGGGUAACACUGCCUCUAUACCAUAAACUAAGGAGAAAGGCGUUGCCCUAGUGGAAGUCCUGAUUGAUGUUCGAUAAGCAAUGAGGGCAAAUGGUAAUUUUUCAUGCCAGUCCUUGUAAGUCUCAACCAUUUUUCCUGUAAUUUUCUUGAUAUUUUUAUUGGCCGCCUCCACUUCACCAUUCAUUUUUGGGCGAUACGGUGACGAAUUAUGGUGUCUGAUCUUAAAUUGACUACAAACCUCCACUAUUGAGCUGUUGUUCAAAUUCAACGCAUUGUCAGAUAUGAUUCUCUUGGGCAAUCCAUAUCGACUGAUCUCCUUUCUCAAGAACUCGCUGACUGCUGAUUUUGUGACAUUAGCAUACGAAAUAGCUUCUACCAAUUUAAUGAAGUAAUCAAUAACCACAAAGAUGAAACAAUACCCAUUAGAAGCCUUUGGCGAUAUUGGCCCAAUGACAUCCAUGCGCCACAUGGAGCAAGGCCAUGGAGAAUUCAUAACAUGAAGAGGCGAAUGAGGCAUAUGCAUUUUAUCACCAUAAAUUUGACAUUUAUGGCACUUCUUAGCAUAAUUGAUGCAAUCUCCUUCUAUAGUGGACCAGUAAUACCCGAAUCUCAUAAUCUAUCUAGCCAUUGUGAAACCACUGGCAUGCGUUUCGCAAAUACCCUCAUAGACCUUUUCUAAGAUUUUUGUAGCCUCUACAGCGUCUACAUAUCUUAAUAGUACCUGAUCCUUUCCCUUUUUAUAUAAGAUCUCCCCAUCUAAUACAUAAUCAAUGGCUAAUCUUAUUAGAGUCCUCUUAUCAUUCUCAACUGCCUGGUCAGGAUACUUACGAUUCUUCACAUAUCGCAAUAUAUCUUGAUACCAAGGGCUAUCAUCCUUUUCUCCCUCUUCGAUAUUGUAACACUAAGCUGGGGUCUCAUAAAUUAUUAUUUAGAUAGGUUUCAUGUUUUCUUAUCUGCUUACUUUAAUCAUGGAGGCUAGAGUAGCCAAAGCGUCAGCCAUCUGGUUUUUAUCUCGUGGAAGAUAGUAGAAAGUAAUGUCAUCAAACUCUUGAAUAAAUUCCAGAACCAGUUUUCGAUAACUGAUUAAUUUGGGAUCUCUCGUUUCCCAUUCACCUUUGAGUUGGUAUAUCAACAAUGCUGAAUCCCCAUAUACCUCUAAUACUUUUAUUUCACACUCUAUAGCCGCAUGAAUGCCCAUGAUGUAUGCUUCAUAUUCUAUCAUGUUGUUUGUGCAAUAAAAAUCUAAUUUGUAAGUAAAAGGAUAAUGAUCCCCGUCUAGGGAUACUAUGACUGCCCCAAUUCCAUUGCCCAUAGCGUUCGAGGCUCCAUCAAAGUUAAGCUUCCAAAUGUGGCCCACUUGGGAAUUUUCUUUAGUGGCUGGCACAUACAUCAAGUCCUCAUUCGGGAAAUCAAAAUUCAAGGGCUCGUAAUCCUCCAAGGCUUUACUAGCUAGAAAGUCAGCUAUUGCACUCCCUUUCACAGCCUUCUAACUCACAUAGACUAUGUCAAAUUCGGAAAGCAAAAUCUUCCAUCUACCCAUCCUCCCAUUCAAAGUUGUCACUUCCAUCAUAUACUUUAAAGGAUCUAAUUUUGAAAUUAGCCAAGUCGUAUGGUAUAACAUGUACUGCCUCAGUCUCCAAGUCACCCAGAUCAAAGCGCAACAUAAUUUCUCAACAGGUGAGUAUCUUAUUUCACAACCAGUGAAUUUUUUAUUGAGAUAGUAUAUUGCCCUUUCUUUCUUUCCUGUCUCAUCAUGUUGGCCUAGAACAUAUCCCAUAGAAUUGUCAAAUAUUAUUAAAUACAGCAUCAGUGGCCUAUCUGGGCUAGGUGGUGAUAGUACUAGAGUAUUGGACAAGUACUGCUUUACCCUAUCAAAAGCUUUUUAGCAUUCCUCAUCCCAUUCUCCUGGAUUAUGUUUCUUCAAAAGACGGAAUAUGGGGUCACAUUUCUCAGUUGUGAAAUAAACCGGGCAAUGUAAUUCAAUCUUCUUAAGAACCCUUGAACUUCAUUCUGAGUACGUGGCAGAGGUAAAUCUCGUAUCGCCUUGACCUUAUCUGGGUUGAUCUCGAUUCCUUUUUCACUGACUAUAAAACCCAACAGUUUUCCUGACCUAGCUCCGAAAGUGCAUUUCGUUGGGUUAAGCUUGAGCUGGAGCUUUCUCAGUCUUAAGAACAACUUUCUCAAGACCUGCACAUGUUCCUCUUCCGUCCUGGAUUUUGCAAUCAUAUCGUCAACGUAAACCUCGAUUUCUUUGUGCAUCAUGUCAUGGAACAAGGUUACCAUGGCUCUUUGAUAUGUUGACCCAGUAUUCUUUAAACCAAACGGCAUCACCUUAUAACAAAACGUUCCCCAUAAGGCGAUGAAUGUGGUAUUUCCCAUAUUUUCGGGAUGCACCUUUAUCUUAUUGUAUCUAGAGUAGUCGUCCAUAAAGAAAAACAGAGAGUAGCCUACUGUAUAUCUACUAGAGUGUCAACAUGAGGCAAUGGAAAAUUAUCUUUUGGGCUGGCCUUGUUCAGGUCCCUGUAAUGCACGCACAUUCUUACUUUCCCAUCUUUUUUAGGGACUGAGACAAUAUUGGCUACCCAUUCGGAGUACUUGAUUGCCUGUAAGAACCCAGCAUCAAACUACUUUUUAACUUCCUUCUUUAUUUUUAGUACAAUAUCAGGCCUCAUCCUUUGAAGUUUCUGCUAAACUGGCUUGCAAUCCUCUCUUAGAGAAAGGCGAUGCACUACGAUGUCAGUGCUUAAUCCCGACAUAUCCUGGUAUGACCAUGCGAAGAGAUCUUUGAAUUCUUAGAGUAACUCAAUGAGGUCUUGCCUCGUCUUUUUGGUAAUGUCAGUUCCAAUAUUCACCUCUUUUCCCUCCUCCAAGCUCACAAUUUCUACUGACUUCUUGUGAGGUAGGAUUUGUUUCUUUUCCUGUUCUACCAUCCUCAAUAAGUCCAGAGAUAAACCACAGUCUACGUCAUCUUCAAAGUCAUACGACCCCUCUAAACACAAGUCUCAUUCAAAAGGAAAUUCUGAGUUUGUAGUAGCGUCACUCAUGUAAUUGAUAUCCGAGGACCUACGGUGGGUACUAAAGAAUAUACAAAGAAUAUAUGAAUUUAUGAAUAACCAUUUGUACAAUAUGAUUAUAAAUGUAAUGAAAGAAUGAUUUGGAAGAAAAUCUCAAACAAAUGAAAGAAUAAAAGAAUACUUGCUUAAAAUGAAUGCAAUGAUGUAUUUUAUUAGAAUAAUAACGUUCAAACAUGAACCUAUUUCACAAAGGAAUUCCUAUUAUUUAUAGGCUAAAAAGCAACAAGAAUGUUCUGAUCAUUACUCUGAAUAAGCUCUAAAGACUACAAGGACUUCUUCCACAGUCUAAUUAUUUAGCUCGCUCUCCAGUUCAUAAGGGCGGAUUUCUAACAAGGUACUUCUUUCAGCCAGGUCUAUGGCAUUGAUUUGAACACUUCCCAACAUUUCUUUAAUACUUUCUCUCAUUGGCGUCUUUCGCUCGGAAUGAAUAAUCCCUUCUUAACAAAAAAUUUUGAUAUGUGAAGGAACAUUAUUGGUUCCUACUUGAUUUCCUCCCCACUCAUACGCGCCCUUCUUCUUUCUCACCUCUUAUCUAUCUCAUUCCUUUUUUAUCUUGUAUUUGGCUUGUACCCUAAGCCAAAAUGGUCGUACUUGUCCUCCAACAUUGGAGCCUUAAUUCUUCCCUGAAGCUGUCUCCCCAGUCCUUUUUCCAGUAGGGCUUCUCUUCCUACCAUUAACUGUAGACCCAUUCUUAGAGCCUUGGACAUUUUUGGCACCGGUAUCAUGCUCUCCACAAUAAUAAAUGUGGCAUUCACAAACUCCAAAGACCAAAAAGAGCAUUCGUCGGCCUCAUCAUUCGUCUCCAAGUACGGCGCAUCACUAGUUACAGCUGUAAUAAUAUCCUCUUCAGCAUUUAUCGUCACCAAUCGACCCUCGGAUACCAACUUCAGCUUUUGAUGUAAUGACGCAAGUACAACCCUGCCGAAUGUAUCCAUAGCCUUCCUAACAAACAAUUGUAAGAAGGUCUGAUGUCUAUCACAAGGAAGUCUACCUCAUAGACAGUUGGACCAAUUAACAAGGGUAUUUCAAUUCUCCCCAUAACCUUCAUCUCAGUGCCAUCAAAUGCUCUCACUAUAUUCUGGCACGACUUCAUAUGCGAGCUAUCUACUAGCAACUUGUUAAGUGUGGACAACGGUAGUACAUUUAAUGUUGAUCCAUUGUCAAUCAGAACCCUAGGUACGGUGUACCCUUUGCAUCGGGUAGUAAUGUGCAAAACUUUAGUAGACCCCAUACUUCCAGGUGGCAUUUCAUCGUCAUUGAAGAAGAUGAAGUUAUUGACACUUAUAUUGCUAAUCAGCCGAUCUAAUUUGUUGACAGAGAUAUCAUUGGCCACGUAUGUUUCAUUCAACACUUUCAUUAACGCGUUUCGAUGUACUUCUGAAAUCAAGAGCAUAACUAGUACAGAUAUGCGAGCUGGCUGUUUAUGCAACUGUUCUACCAUACUAUACUCACUGUGCUUUAAGAAUUUAAGGAAUUCUUUAGCUUCUUCCUCCCCUACUAGCUUAUUGAUGGGCUCGACUUCCUCCUUCUUCAUUUUUCUAUCAUUUCCUAUCUUUUUAUAGGUUCUACUUGGGGACUUAUUACAUCGUAACAUCUCUCACUACGUGUACAAGAACCUAUACCCUGACUUUCUUUUACAGCACUGAUUGAAGUCUCUCUUCCCGGGAUGAUUACAUUGCACUCAUAGUUCCACGAGACAUUCUUGCUGUCUUUGUAAAAAAGGCUGUGGGUUUUUGAAUUGUGAUUUUCGAUGCUAUUAGUACCCCAGCGUUAUUAUUUUUUGGGCUUGAAAUGAUAACAACAGGAUGAUUCACCUUCGAAACAAUCAUUGUAGACUCAGACGCACAUAUACUUCCCUCCUUUUUGAUUUCUUCAUAGAAUUCCACUUCCUUGUCAUCCAUCAUGCCCUGAACUAGGACUUUAAACUCUUUGCACUCCUGGAUUUUGUGCCCCUCUUUAUGGUGGAACUCACAGUAAUUCCUUGUCUCUUCACAUCUUUCCCCUAAAUCUGAAACAAUUAACCCCCUUUUGAUCAUCUCCUUCUAGACCCUUUUCAGGGGAGUUUUUAUUUUUGCAACCUCUGCCUUGAUUCUUCUUCCCAUAGCCUUACUCAUCAUGUUUAUUCCAUUAACAGCAUGAUUAGGUAGCGAAUUCUCUAUAUUGGAUGAAUCGUCAAAUUUGACAAUACCCAUAUGGAUAAACCUUUCAACUAGUUUCUUAAAAGCGGUGCAAUUUUCUAUAGAAUGCCCCGUAAUUUCUGCAUGAUAGUCGUACUGUGCGCUUGCAUCAUACCAUUUAGGGUACAGAGGCUGCAAGGGCUUUAAAUAGAAAGGGGAGACGACGUGUGCAUCGAACAAACUUUGAUAUAGCUCUUUAUAAGACAUUGAAUUGGCGUGAACUGGAGCCUCUCAUUGUUUUAUCUUGUACCCGAUUCUUGCUUUGAUGAGCCUUGCUAAUUGGUAACCCACUUUCCUGGUUGAUUUACCAUGAUUGACUUCGAGUAACCUUUGUUGUAUGUACUCUUAUUUUUCACAUCAUUUUCCUUCUUUCUUGAGGCUGACCUUUUGUUACUUUCUCCAGUAUCUAUCUUUCCACAUCUUAUGGCGUUCUCAAUUAUCUUGCCAUUCAUGACUAUAUCUGAAAAACUCUUUGUAGCACUCCUUAGCAUGUGAGUGAUGAAUGAGGCUUUUAACGUGUUGAUAAAGAGCAUCGUGGCUUCUUUUUCCAGGAGCGGUGGUUGAACUUAGAUGGCAACCUCCCUCCAUCUCUGUGCAUUUUGCCUAAAACUCUUACUAAGCUUCUUCUCCAUGUUUUGUAAAGUAAUUCUAUUAAGAGUCAUAUCUGUGACAUGACUAUACUGCUUCAUGAAUGCUUAUGCUAGGUCCCUCCACGAACUAAUCCUGGUAGAACUCAAUUGGUUGUACCACUUGGAUGUUGCCCCCAUCAGGCUGUCCUGGAAGCAGUGUAUCAGUAGUUGGUUAUUGUUAACUUAUCCAGCCAUUCGUCUGCAAAACAUGGUAAUGUGAGCUUCAGGGCAACUAGUCCUGUUGUACUUUUCAAAUUCUGGUAUUUUGAACUUGUACGGAAGAACUAAAUUUGGAAACAAGCUCAGAUCUUUAGCGUCAAUUCCUUGAAGACUAUCAGUACUUUCCAUCGCUUUAAAUUUUUCCUCCAGCCAUCUACACCUAUCCUCUAGCUAUUUUGGCAAUUCCGCCUUAGCUUUUUCUUUUUCUACCACCUCAUCAAAAUUGGGGAUCACUGGGUUAGCUGGGUUAUUUACUGGAUUUGAACUUGAUCCAAUUUGAAAGUUUACUGGCAUCGAAGCAUCGGCUUGAGGCCUAAUUGUGACGGAUGGCCUCCGCAGGUACAUCUCAGCUUGGACCUGUACCUUAGGUAGAGUAAAACCUGGAGGAUAUAGUGGUUCAUCAUUAUCCUCACUGGGGUUGGUUAUAAGGCCUUUCCCCUUAUCUAUUCCCCCGGUCAAUAAUUGGGUCAAUUGGGUCAUCAUGCUUUUUUGGGAUUCUAGUAUUUUGUCCGUCAUUUCCUAUUGGAUCUUAGCUAUCUGCUCUUGCAUUUGCGCUUGUAACUGGUCUUGCAUCUCCCUUUGCAAUUGUUCGAGUUUUUCUAACCUUUGGUCCAUGUCUUUUGUCUUAGCUCGGAUACAGUAACGAUGUUUGGUUGGUUGGUUUUUUACUGGUUGCCAGAUAAACUGAAAUAAUUUUAACUAAUUAAGACCUUUUGGUGGACUUUAAUGCAUAUAAUGUAAUGUCAUGCAAAUGCAUGAAGUGAAUGUAAAAAGACAUCAAUUUAAAUUCAAUUCUAUUUAGAAAAAUUUACCAGAAAACAAAAAUUCUUUACAUAAAAAAAUUACAUAUAUGGCUUAGCCCUAACACUUAAGGCCUUAAUUUUCCUAAACAGCGAAGCUAACUCCUGCCCCCGGUCUGAUUCCAGCUCGUGCUUUAUAAUCAGUAUAUCAACUUGUACUGCCAAAGUCUGUAAGUAAUCUGCUACCUCUCGAAUCUGAGUUGCAGCCUCUCCCAUAAUGUGAUCUCUGUUCCUGACUUGGUUCUGACAACAAAUGAGCUGUUCUUUUUUACGUUCUUCACUGGCUUCAAUGAAUUCAAUCUGCAUUUCACAGCUUUGUAAUGCCACUUCUAAUUCUCCCACUUUUCUUUUCAUUUGCUCAAUCUUGUCUAAGCUCGCUAUUAGCUCCAUUACAAAAUUAUGGUUUUAAUAGUGAUAAAGAGUUUUCUCGAGUUCAGCCACUCUAGCUUUUAGCUCACCCUGUUCAUUUCAACUUUCUAACAAACUCUUCUCUAGGGUCUUAUUUCGCAUUUGGGCCUCCUAGAACUUCCUUUCCCAUCUAUGAGCCUUGAUCUUUUCCUCUUGAAUUUCUUGAUACCACUGCUCUGAAGUUUUUCCCAACUCGACAGCUUUCAUCGAACAACACAACCUCUUAUAGUCUGUUUUCAAACUAUCCAAAUCUCUUUCAACCUUAUUCUUCCCUCUUCUUAAUUUCUCGGUUUCUAGCUUUUUAACAUCCAUGUCUAAUCUCAAAUUCAUCUUCUAUUCUUCCAUUUGUUCUAUCUUCUUUUUAACUCUGUAUUCUUUCUUUUAAAAUCUUGUCUUAUAAUUUCUAACUCAGAGGGGACAACUUGCGGAUGUUUUCGUGUCAGCUGACCGUCUCCCUGACUUGGCCCAGAGAUUUUAUCAUUAAUCCUUCUACCCCACCAUUUGAUAUAUUUAGGGGUCGUUAUCUGACCUACUACCAAUCCCUUCAUCCGUUGAGUCUAACUCAAAGCAUUGGACAUUUCUCGAAUCUUCUUCUUGUAACCAUCGCCUUUAUAUGAAAAUUCACACUGAGCUAGUCUUGAGUUGCAGGUAUGGAUUGCCUUGACCUAUACUGUCUUAGCACUAGCAACGGUGCAUAGCCAAUCGCUUCCCAAAUCCCAAGUAGGGGGACCCAAUAAAAAUUACCACAUCUAUAUAAGAUCUCAUCUAGAAGCAUCCAAGGAGCUCUCCAUUCGAUAUCCUCUUCUUGAAGAUCCUAAAGAAUUGCCAUCCAUUCUUUCUCUGAGAUAUCAUCCCGCCUCGGUAUAACCACUAUCUCCUUUAGGGGUGAAUAGUUUUCAGGGAAAACCCAAUAAAAAACCUUAUCAACUUUUCAAAAGUGACCGUGGAACCAUGCUAAAAGGAGCUGCGCACAUCUGACGAAUCUACCCUCAUCUGCUCUCCGGUAUUCGUUCAGCGAUCUGAAGGUUUUUGCCAAAAUUGCCGGGACCAGUGUAAUCCUCUUAUCAAGUCGGUAAAAGAGAUCGGUGACUGCCUCAUCAACAUGUCUGAAGGCUUUGAGAAAUACAACUAAUCCGUAGACACUCAAGGCAAAGACAUCAACUUUUUUCUUCGUAUCUAGGUGUGCUAGAAUCAGAUCCCUCAAAUUCUUCCAAGGAAUACGUUUACUAUCACCCUUCUGCUUGAUCCGUGCUGCAACCCAUUACUCACUCAUCCCGGUAAUAUUUAUCAAUUUCUUCAUGAAGGUCGGGACAUUAACAGCACUUGAGUAAAUUCUAUCUCCUUGAAUCUUUGAGCAACGAAGUAAAGUAGUGUAUUCUUCCACUGUAGGUGCCAGAUCACCUCCCCCAAAAGUGAAACAGCUAUAAGCAGAAUUCCAAAACUAGGCGAGGCACAAAACAAGUGUUUAUCCACCUUUAUGUCAAGUAGAUAAUGCAGAUCUCUAUAACUAGAGUAAAAAAACUACUUGACUUCAUCAUUCCACUGAUCCUAGAUUUCCUUCAAUUCUUGCAAACUAUUCUGAGUUACACUAAUACGAGUGAAGUUCCACAACUCCGAUACAUAUCAUUUGGCCAAACUAUCACCUUUUCCUUGUUGUGUUGUCUCAGACCACGCCUGGACAGUCGUAUUAUCCUCCACCUUAUCAAGAAAUCUAUUUUUCAUGAUGAGCUCUCUAUCUAGUAACCGAAUAUGAACCAAUGCCUUUUAGGAUGAGAUGCUACGCAGUAAAAUGCCAUGCAAUCAGAGCAAAACACACAAAGUUAGUAUCAUGUAAAAAAUAGAAUUCAACACAAACAUAAAAUAAUAAAGCACCUAUUCAGGAAUCUACUAGGGUUUGGUAUAGUUCUACCUAGGGCAAGUUCCUAAGGUUCACUAUAUGAGGUUUUAGCUUAUAGAGCAAAGGUACCCGAAUCAGCAGAUUCCUCGAUCCUCACCCAUUAUGGGCUCAUAUGGACCGAGUUCAGUUCAGGGGAAUACAUUUCCCUAUGGUUGUACAGAGAUGAAAAUCUCACGAAGACAUAUGUACGGAUGUAUCCCGAAAGCGGUCCACUACCCUGCACGGAGGUGAAAACCUCAUGAAGGACUAGUUUCUCGCUCCCAUUUAGAGUGGUAAAAUUGUCAAACACAUGCAAUGCCAAAUGCAAAUAAAAAUUAAUAGAUUUGGACCAAUCAAGCAAACAUAUCAUGAUGAAAGCAAUGAAUGUGUAGGGGAAAUAAUGAUUUUAAAACAAAAUUUGAUUUUUUGACCACAAGACAAAAAAAUAAAUCAAUUUAUGGCUCGACUCUCUAAUGUCCCCAGCGGAGUCGCCAAGCUGUCGAAACCAUUUUUUUAAAACAAAUUUUUAGUUUCGACCUAAAAAUGAAAAUUGGAGUCGCCACCAAUCUUUUAUUGAGGCGUGAUUGGAUCACCUAAAAACGAUUUUGGUCUAAGAGUUUUAGAAAAAUGCGUUCGGGAGUCAGUUAUGUACGAGGAAUGAUUAGCACCCUUGUAACGCCCAGAAUUGGUACCGAAUUAAUUAUUUAAUGUCUUGAGGUCAAAUGAAUAAGAUUUAAAAAAAGAUUCUCCUUUUAAAAUCAUUAUUGAAAUUUAUUCAUUUGAAAACUAAAAAAGUUUGGUCAUCUUGUUUCUAUGAAGAAAUCGAAACCUCGUAAGUUAGGGUACGAUUAUUUGAAAUUUUGACAACCACACACUAAUUUGCUUUUGUUUAAAAAAAUCUUAUCUCGAGAUAACAAAAUGUCGCAUCCUGUGAGUUAGGACACAACCCUUUGAAUUCCCGAGAGUAAAUUUAAAUCUUGAAAUGUUUACAAUUUUAUUGAAAAAGGAUACUCAGCUAUUUAAAUUCAACGAAAAAAACUAAAGCCUAGUAAGUUAGGGCACAAUCUCCUCGAGAAUCUUGAACGCCGAAUAUUUUGAAAACUUACGUAUAAAACAAUUUCAGUAGUUUAAACAAAUCAAUAAUAUAUCUAAAGAAUAAAAGUACUUUAAUAUAAAUUGUACAUGUAUAUAUAAAACAAUAUUAUAUAAAAAUACUUUCAAAUAAAUCUUUAAAACAUAAAAAAAAUAUAUAAAAUGAAUUUUUUUAAAAAAACAUAUACUACAAAAUAAAAAGCAUCCGAAUAUACGCAUUAUACUGGAUUUUAAAAAGAAAUAAAAUAAUACAUUAUAAGAUAAAAUAAUAAUAUAUGACAGUGAUAUAAAUAGAAUAAAAUUAUGUAUGCAAAAAGGUUAGAUAAAUUUUUAUAAUAAUAAUAAUAAUAAUAAUAAUAAUAAUAAUAAUAAUGAAGUUUGAGAAUAAAAUAAAAUAGAACAAAAUAAAAAAAAUUCACAAUGAAAGGGAAAAAAAUAAAAAUAAAGGAGUAAAUAAAAAAUAAAUAAACAAAAACACAAAACAAAAUUAAAAACAAGACAGAAACAAAAAAAAAAGAAGCUAGACUGUCCUGGAAAUAAAAAAUAUUUGAAAUGAAAUAGGGGCUGAAAUUAUAAAUAAAAAAAUGCUAAAGGACUAAAUUGAAGUUUACUAAAAAAUGGGAUAAAAACUGUAAGUAAAAAUAAAGGAUAGGGCCCAAUUGAAUGGCGUAAAUAAUUUAGAAGGACCCAUCGGGGAAAUAUCCCCCAUCCUCUGAAACGCGCCAUUGCUAGGGCCAAAUUGAAACUGAAGUAGAAUUAAAGUAUAAAUUAAAAAAAUAAAAAAAUAAAAAGGACUGAAUUGAAACAACUGAAAAAUACAAGGGUCUAACGCGCAAAUAUACCAUCAAAGCAAAAAACACACGGAUCCUUCCCCUGAGUCGGUUCAUCGCGCGGGUCAAGGGAGUGAAACGACGUCGUUUUGGGCAUCAGAAGCUAAGCCCAAAACGAAGUCGUUUUGGGGUGUCUAUAUAAGUAAAGAAAAACUUUAAAAAACAUCUGUAGCCUCAUUUAAAAAAAAAAACCUCUCUUUUCUCUCAACUCUCUCCCAUUUUCUCUCCUUUUGGCCAAAGCUCCAGCAUCGGACCACCGUGGCGGCCGCCAGUCGUCGGCGAUGGCGCCGUCGUCCACGAUGGCUGGAAAAUUUUAAAAAUAUUUUUUUUGUUUUUUCAACUCCCGGUUUAAAAAAACACCGAUUUUCAUCGGAAUCGGCACCUCAUCCGCAAUAAAUGUACGAUUUUUACCCUUUUCGUUUUUGUUUUCUUUCAAAAUAAAUAAAAUAAAUAAAUAAAUAGACCGAUAAAAACAACUACCUUUGAAAACGAUCUAUACUUGAAUUGAUUUUUUUCCGUUUUUCUUUGAUUCAUUCGUGUGUUCUAAAUACAUAAAUUCAGGGCCUUUUUAUAGCCCGAAAUUUCCUAUUUUCUCUACUUUUACACUAUUUGUGUUGUUCUUGGACUCUCCUAGUCCAUUUUGCAGGUACACACGUGGCGGCACAUGCGGAGAAGGCGACGCAAAGGGCGGCAUGCGGCGGCUGCCGUUUGUCUACUGUUGGGGGUGGCGGUUGCUGUUUUUUCUGCUUAGGGUUUCUUUUUUUUUCUUUUAUUUUGGGCUAGGGUUUAGUUGGUUUGUUUUGGGUAUUAGGCUAAUGGGUUAAUAGUUUGGGCCCGGUAUUGGGUUUUUUAAUUUGGAAAUUAAUUGGACUUUAUUUAUUUUAGUUUUAUUUUUUUUUUGUUUAUGCGGGCUCGGGCCAAAAUUUGGGUUCUACAAACAUAAAGAAAAAAAUAAAUAACUGAAAGUUAAUGUUUAUGAUUUAAUUUUUUAAAAUAUAGUUAAUCAUCCAUAAUAAAAAAAGAUAAGUAAAUAAAGAAAUGUUUAUUCAAACAAUUUGUAAAAUUAAUUGUAACUUUAAUUAAAAUAAAAAAAAAAAGACUUGUAAGAAAAAGGGAGACGUGGUUAAUUUUGAGUAGGUACACAUAUGGAGUAGGAAAAAGGGCCAAAGGAUUUCACUCACUAUUGUAACCCCCCGACCGAGGCAAGCAUUACGAUCAAAUUUUUUUUAUUAAUAUCUUGUAAAGCCUAAAAUUUGCCCAGGCCCUUUGAACAACAACCAAAAAUAAAAUAAAGUCCAAAGUCCAAAUGUUACAGACCCAAUAUGACCCAAACAAAACCAGGCCCAAAAUUAAACAAACCCAACAACCCUAAGCCCAAACCUAAAGGCCCAACAAACUAAAAAUUUUCAGCCAAACAAAAAGCAAAAACCCUAGCUAGCUGCCGCUCUUGCCCUAGCCUCUGCCUCCUUGCAUGCCCACUACCGCCACCGCUUGCCUAUCACCGGCCAUCGACGCCUCAGACCACCUGCAAGACCAAGGCAGAACGCAACAAUAAAGAAAAAAUGUAGAAAAAAACAAAAAUUAAUAAUUUUGAUUCGGCUAUAAAAACUGAAUCUCACCCUCGUUUGUAAUUUUUUUAUGAACACAAUAGAAAUAAAAAAAACAAUAUUCGAAUGUGAUAUUUCAUUUUUUUGUUUUAGAUCUAGUGUUUAUUUUCAUUUCUUUUUUAUCUACGAAAAUAAAAAAAUAAAAACGCACCUGGAUUCGCACCCAAGCCCCGUUGCCGGAAACCUUUUCCCUUGGCUCUGAAAUCGGGUCGAGAGGGGUGUAGGGGGUCUCUAUUUUCGGUUUCUUUCUUAAAAAAGGGCAUUGGCCUUGAACAAGAUUUAAAGUCGGGGGUUAAAACGCCCUUUUGCGCCACGCCGGCCACCGGCCACGGCAGUGCUACGGCGGCGACAGUGGCAGAACCCCAGCCUGGUGGAAAGGUCGAAAGAGAGGCUGAGAGAGAGAGUUUGAAGGCUUUUUGUUUUUUUUUUAUGGGGGGUAAAACUGAUUUUUUUUUUAACAUUUAUAUUGGGAUUAAAACGACGCCGUUUUGGAUUUAGGCAAUAAUGGCCAAAACGACACCUUUUCAUGCAAGUCCCGAGAUCCGACCCGCUUGCUCCAGGGGAUCCGCGUGUUUUUAUGCGGAGGGGUAAAUUCCACUUUUAUCCCCUCCACAUUUUAAUGUGUUCGCAAUCAGUUUUUUAUAUUUUUAAAUUUAUCCCUUUAGUUUAUUUUUGAUUUCAAUUUAGUCCUAUCCGAACGACGCCGUUUUAGAGGAGAAGGGAAAAUUGCCCUUCCAGUCCCUUUAUGUUAUUCGUGCAUUCAGAAUAGUCCCUCCCCUUUAAUUUAUUUGCGAUUUGACCCCAAAUUUUAGUUUAGUUUUCAGUUUAAUCCUCUAUUUGUUAUUUUAGUUAUUUUAUUAUUAAAUUAAUUAUUUUAUUAUUAUUGAUACUAUUAGAUGGCAUCAUUAAUCUUGUAUUAUUAUUAUUAUUUUAUUUAUUUAUUUAUUAUUUAUUCACUUAUACCUUUUUAGUUCCAAAAUUUUGUUAUAUACAUAUAUACGUGCAUACAUUUUUAUAAUAUACGUACAUAUUUUUACAAUUUAUAUAUAUACAUACUUAUAUAUAUAUAUAUUUUAUAUUCUAUAAUUUAUAUACAUAUCUAUAUAUGUAUCUAUAUACAUAUUUUUUAAUUUUCAUAUAUAUACAUAUAUACAUACGUCUUUUAUUUUUUAUAAUUUUAAAAAAUAUAUAUACAUACAUAUAUUUUCAUUUUUUUUUGCAUAAUUUUAUUUAUUUUGUUUUUUUGUUAUCAUUGUUACUUAGUGUUUGUUUAUUUAUAUACACUAUUACUUAAAAAAAAAAUUUAGUUCUACUUAUUUAUUUACUUGUUAUUUUUUAUGUAAUCGCUUUGUCCUUUCUAUUUUGUUUACUUAUUAUUUUGUUGUUACUGGCAUUAUCUAUGCUUAUCUUGUCGUAUCUAUUAUUAUUUUGUUACGCAUAUUAACAUUGUGUUUUUAUUUUUACUAGUUCAAGUUAGAUUAAUAUUAUUCAAUGCAUAAAUUAUGACUUGUGAAUAAGUAAAAUUUCGAGUUUAGAUUCGAGAAGGUCGUACCCUAACUUACGGGGUUAUGAUUUUCGUCAUAAAUCUAAAUACACGAAUCUUUUCAAACUAAUGUUUUUAAAUGAUCUCAGGAAAUAGCAAAAGAUCGUGUUCUAACUUGUGAGACACGAUCUAUUUUCUAAACUCAAGAUAGUUAAAUAAAUUUUUGGUAUUUAUUCUCAUAUCGGGAAUUCAAGACCUUAUGUCCUAACUUACUGGAUGUAAUUCUCUCUCUCGAUUAACGUGAAAUAUACUCAUUUUCUUGAAAAUCCUCGGUAUUUUAGCAAAGGAUCAUAUUUUUUUUUUAAAAAAAAAAACUCUUCAAAAUUUUCAAUCUUCGACACUAAGACACUAAUUAAUCAACUAGGUAUCAAUUUUGGGCGUUACAGGGGUGCUAAUCCUUCCUCGUACGUAACCGACUCCCAAACCCAUUUUUCUGAAUUCCCUAGACCGAAAUUAUUAUUUUAAUAAAUCAAAUCGUUUAUUAAAAUAACAACUUUUCGAGGUGAUCCGAUCACACCUCAUUAGAAAAUAUUGGUGGCGACUCCCACAUUCAUAUUCAUUUUUAAAAUCCAAGUCGACCCCGUUUCACAACAAAUGGUGUCAACAUAUCUAAGAAUUGUUGUUGCUAUCAGCCUCUUCAAUGUUUUCGUCUUUUAAAGAAGACUUGCGUUGUCUUGGUCGUCGGUCUUUGCCUUUUAUGAAAAGUCUUGCCCUCUUGCUCCCCAGUCCCUAAGGCGCAAUAACCCUGUCUCUAUUCUUAGUUAAAAGUCUUCUGUUCUCAUUAAUGCUUCUUUUCAUCUUAAUAUAUUCUCUACAUAUUUCCCUGAUUUAGUCAGAAGUUUCACUGUUGCUCUUCUUCUCUACCAAAUUAUUAGCAUGUCAUAUUCAAAAGCAAAACUCUCAUUGUUUGGUCACCUAAUGCCCACUUUUGCUUUGUUCCUUAUUCUAGUCCCUGGUGCUUCUCUUGCUGGGCAUCUUUUUAACCAGGACUGUGGCUCUGUUUUUUGUGGGAAUUUGAACAUCAGUUAUCCAUUGCGAUUAAAAAACCAACCUCCCCAGUGUGGUUGGCAUGACCUGGAACUAGAGUGCGAGAAUAACAACCGCACCACUUUGGUUUUGAGAGAAGGGAAAUUCUAUGUCCAAAAACUUUUUUACGAAAAUGAAACAAUCCAACUGGUGGAUUCGAGCCUGGAGAAGGAUGAUUGCAACUCCCUUCCUCUUAGUUCCGUAUAUUUUGAUUAUUCAGAUGGACAAUUAUAUUCUAUUUUUUCUUCUCAAUAUUCUCAGUCUCAUCAUUAUUAUUCUUCUUUUUAUUAUAUUAGAGAGUUUUAUUAUUCUCAUUUUCUUUAUAAGUAUACUUCUUAUUAUUAUAAUUGUAGUAGUGAGUCAGAGGCUAGCAUUAUGUAUGUUGUGAAUUGCAGUAAACCUAUAAAAUUAUCUCAGUAUAUCAAUGCCUCUCGUUGUAUCACCAAAUUGAAUAUCUCUUCCCCUUCCCCUUCAACUUCUUUUUUCUAUUUUUUUGACAGAAAUACAGUACUAAAUCUUAAUCAAGCUUGCACUGUGGAAGCGGAAGUUCCAAUUAUGGUUAAGAGUAUAUCAGGCAUGUCUACGUUGGCUAUCUACAAUAAACUAUUUGAUGGCUUUUACCUUUCAUGGCAUAAAAUUUCUCUGUAAGUUUCUAGUAGUGUUUAUUAUUCUCAUUCUCUUUAUAAUUAUUUGACCUUUUACAUAAUAAAAUAAUAUUACUGCCAACAUUAUAAACUGACAUAAAUGACAUUUUUCAUGAAAUUUAAUAAUUAUAGUUAUUUUUUAAAAAGUAUUCAUGCAAGAAAAGUACUACUUCUAUAGUUGCAUUUUUUUCCCUUUUAUUUUGUGUAAAAAUUUUAGUGUAUAUAAAAUAAAAUUUGACAUCAAAUGUCAGUAAACAUUAAUAAUAAUGAAAUUUGUGAUUUUUAAUAUGAAAUACAUGUAAAUAUAAAGUUGUAUAAAGUUUAAUCGUGUUUGACUCAUUCUACUAAUACUGCAGAUUGUCACAUUUGUAUUUCGUCUUGGGAGCCUGUUUUUCCGGAAUAACAGGUAUGUCUAUUAUCCCACCCGAACAUUACGUUUCGUUCUGUUUUUAAAAAAUAUUUAUAUUUAUAUUCUUCAUUUUUAUAUUUAGGAAAUAGUAAAAAUUUUAUAUUUUUAUGAAUUCGAAUCAGGAUAUUAGAUUUAAUAUUAUUAGAAAAAUUACUGACAACAAAAAUAUUUUUACUUUUAUAUGAAUGUGGAUAAGGUUCAAUUUAAGCUAAAAAUAAUUGUUUUCAUCAUUUUUAUAAAUUUUUAGUGAAAACAAUUAAAAAUUUUCACAUAUUUUUAUUUUUAUUUUUAUUUUAAAACAACAAUUUUAAAAAAUUUCAACUAAACAUAUAUUGUUGGAUGUUUUCUCUAAGACCCUUCUCUCAUCCGCAAUUCACGCAUACCUUAUAAAACCAAUCCUCUUGUUUGGAAUAAAAGCAUCCACCACCUUCCCAUCUACCCAAAUAUUUGUUUCACCCAACCGCACUUCAUCCUUCUAGGACAUUACUGAGAAAAAACAAAACUAUUCAACUUUACUUUUAUGAAAAUUACAACAUUCUUGAUAACUAUUUUAGUUUUAUCUUGCUUGAUUUAGAAAAAAGAAAAACACAAGGCAUCAAUGGGAAUAUCAAACAAUUGAAUUGCUAUUUUAAAAUUAAUUGCAUAAAUUAGCGAAAGUAUGUGUUUUAAGAGGGAUGAAACUGUCACAUACAUAAACAUAUUGAGAAUGUAGAUAAUACGUUGAUGUUUUUCAAUAUGUUUUUCUUGAAAGGAUAUUUCAUCAUACUGAGGCUCCUCCUUGGGAUACCUUGUUUGCUUGUGCUUGUAAUCUACAAAUGGAGCAGAAGACAUUUAUCCAUGGAUGAUAAGAUUGAAGAGUUCCUUCAAAGCCACAAUUUAACUCCAAUUAGAUACUCUUUUAAAGAAGUUAAAAAAAUGAGUAAAAAUUUUAAAGAUAAAUUAGGUGAAGGGGGUUAUGGUUCGGUGUUCAAAGGAAAGCUUCGUAGUGGACAUCAUGUGGCAAUAAAAUUGUUGUGCACAUCAAAGGGUAAAGGCCAAGAUUUCAUAAAUGAAGUUGCUUCUAUCGGAAGAAUUCAUCAUGCUAAUGUGACCAAACUUAUUGGAUUUUGUGUGGAGGGAUCAAAACAAGCUCUCGUGUAUGAUUUCAUGUCGAAUGGAUCGUUAGAUAAAAUCAUAUUUUCUGAAGAAAACAGAAACACUUUAGGUUGGAAAAAACUAUUUGAUAUUGUGAUUGGAGUUGCUCGAGGAAUCGACUACUUGCAUCAAGGAUGUGACAUGCAAAUUUUACAUUUUGAUAUCAAGCCACACAACAUUCUUCUAGGCGCGAAUUUUAAUCCAAGAAUUUCAGAUUUUGGUCUUGCUAAGUUGUAUGCAAUAGAUGAGAGCAUUGUCUCUCUCACUGCAGCACGAGGAACAAUAGGGUAUAUUGUUCCUGAAUUGGUUUACAAAAAUCUUGGAGGCAUUUCAUACAAAGCUGAUGUUUAUAGUUUUGGAAUGUUGGUGCUAGAAAUGGUAGGAAGGAGAAAGAAUUUGAAUCCAUUUGCCAACCACACUAGCCAAAUAUAUUUUCCAUCUUGGAUUUAUGACCGGUUAGAUCAAGGAGAGGACAUGGAGCUGGGAGAUAUUUCUGAUGAUGAAAAAGUAAUGAUAAGGAAGAUGAUAAUAACAGCCUUUUGGUGUAUACAAUUAUUGCCUUCUGAUCGUCCUUCAAUGAAUAAAGUGUUAAAGAUGCUUGAAUCCAAUGUCGAACUCCUUAAGAUGCCUCCAAAGCCAUUUCAUCAACUUCCUCUUGAAACAUCAACGGAGGUUCAUAGCUGUGAGAACUCUAAUGAUGAGGAAAGUGUGUUGUUACAUAACCAGUUUUAAUGUCGUUUAAGAUUGGAAACAUUUCCUGACAUUAUCUUACCUUUGUAGCUUUAUAUAGUUUUUUCCUUUCGUAUGUAUUAGUAUCUUGUGUGUGUAUUGCAUAUGUACAUAAAUUAUUUAAAAAUCAAUGUUUGUUUUGAUUUUAAAUAAAUAAUAUUGAAGUGAUACUUUG
rnacentral:lncRNA from 1 species